rnacentral:lncRNA from 1 species
UUGGAAAGUGGGAUUUUUUAUAAUUAUACGGUGAAUUUAAAAUUAAUUUUUAAAAAUAUAGUCUAAUAAAAAAUAUUUAUAAAUCUACGUACUUUUUGCUACUUUAAAAAACUUUCUUGUAAACAUAUAUUUCAUAAUUUUUAUAUUAAUGAUACACGUUUUAAAAAAAUUGAAUUUUCUUUUGAAAAGACCUUCCAUAAUUUUUAUAUCAACAACACACCUUAAAAAAAUUUGAAUUUACAUUAAAAGUAUUUCUUCAAAAGACAUCUUUUAUUAUUUUAUAAAAUCAAAUUUAUAUUAAAAACGUCUUUUAAAGAGAUUUUUUACAAUUUCCAUAUCAAUUGCAUGAUAAAAAAAAUUGAAUUUAUACUAGAAGUAUUUUCUUAAAACACUUUCUUCAAUUUCACAAAAUGCUCCAUCCACUUUUAAUAUAUAUAUAUAUAUAAAAGUCAAUGUAUGAUUAUGCAUUAGUAUCAGUCUAUAUAGCAUGUGCGAUUGAGCCUGUUAGAGAAUUAAAUUCAAGACAUUUAGAACCGAAAGCAUUGUUUGUCAAAGAUAGAUGGUGGAUGAUGACCCAGAAUAUUUUCCUUCUGAUCUAUGAAUGGAUGGAUGAGAAACUCUUCAUGAAUGAAUCCACCUUUGAGAAGAAACGAUGUGGGCAUAUCAGAACAUUAAAGACGGUGUGGCUUUUAGUGAAACUUGGAGUGUUGAUCAUCUUAGAAAAUUGAUUGGAUGAAAUUUCACUGAAACUCCUUUGGAAUCGACUGUGGUCCAGAAUAAAUUAUUUCCUUUGCUUUUGCUUCAAAAUGGACUCCCUUCUCUGCUAAGAGGUUCUUGUUGAAUACAAGUUGACCCAAUUUGUGACAUAUGAAGGAAAGAGUUGAGAAACUGGAAUCAUACCUUGUGAUUGAACUAAAGAUUGUUGCCCAACUCCUAUUGAUCAAAAUGACAGCGUUGGCCCAUUUUGAUAAAUAAAAAAAAACAAUAACCAUCAAGUCAUUGAAAAAGCAAUAUUUCACAUCUAUCCUCGAAGUUCACACUCUACAAAGAGACAAAGGCCCAACCAAGCUAUAGAGAUUUCCAAAAGAUACGGGUGAAAUUAAAUUUUGAUGGAUCCCACAAAGAUGUGGAGAGGACAGUUCCAUCAAGAUGAUUAUCAGAGAUGGGAACUUUUAAACGCAACUCCACCAUGAAUUGUCCUGUCCAAGGGUCACCAUCUUUGUGGUCUCACAAUGGUAUGUAUAUAUAUAUAUAUAUCAAGGCUAUAAAGAAAAGGACAACCCUAUGCUUGCUUAAUGCCAGAUAGAUUUGUCCCUCCCUGUAUAAGGCUAUUCUUGCUUAAUGCCAGAUAUAUAUAUAUAUAUUAUUAUUCGUUGUUUUGUAAACAUAGUCCUAUUAGAUAAGAUUUUAAUUGUAGAGAUAGUAUGGAACUAAUUGCUCAUUACAAAUUAAUUUGUAGUUCAUUCUCACUACAAGUUAAUUGAAAAACACACGGCUUAAUGAGGCUUUGCAAAGGAAAAAGAAAAAAGAAAAUUUUUGUAAUUGAUAACACACAGGCUUUAUAAGGCUUUGCAAAGGAAAAAAGAAAAAAAAUUAAUGAGGCUUUGAAAAGAAAAAAAAAAAAAAAAACUUGAUCGUAAGUUAGAAGGGAGUAUUACAAAGAUAAAUUCCAGCUCAAAAUUGGCUUAGAAAAUUGUAUCUUACAUUUUUGGUAAAUUAAUGAACAAAUUAAAAUUGAGUUGAAAAGGAAUAACAUAGCAAAUUAAAAUGAAAGCCAGCAAUACCAAUUAAAAAUAAUGCAGGAGUGCACACAAACAACUAAUUGGAGAGGAAUACGAAAGACAAGACCACUUGAUAGACAAUAAAGGCGACAAAAAAAUCCCAAUCAACACCACCACUUUCAACUAACAUUUCAAACGAAAGGAGCCAACAAAGACUGAUAGCUGAAAAUAAAAGUCCUGCACAUCAUAUCGAACACAAAAACUUGGUAGUCUGGAGUCUUUCUUAAUAGUUAUUGUGAAAGACCCUAUUGAAAUAUUAUACUAACAGGAAUAAAUAGAAAAUAGGGUAUAUGUAUUUUAUGAGACACCCAUAACAGCAUAGGCUGAUAAUAAUUGUAAUCGAUUUUCUUAGCCUGUUAACAAGCUAUUAUAAGUCUAACCUACAAGGAAGGACUAGUACUGAUGCCGGAAUAAAUAACCCCAAGCACAACUAUGGAGCCUUGACAAUCCAAAUACGCAUAAACCACACUUCUAGCAGGGCCUUAAGCUAUUGUUCUCCAUUUUCUAAUGGCCGGCCCAAUCUCUCUCCCUCUCUACGAAAAGUUGCCCCAGAAGAAUAUAGUCCAGAGAGUGUUGGACGUCACCAUUUUCUUCCUUCUCCUCACUCUCCUUGCUUAUCGUAUCCUCUCCCUCAAAAGCAAUGGCUUCAGUUGGCUUGUGGGUUUUGAUAGAAACAAAGUGUAGAAACUCUCAGGAAGCAACAGAACGUUGAGGAAUCUGAAGUGAUAUAUUUUAUUAAGCUUCAAAGUACUUAUUUAUACAGCUAGCUUAAAACAAAAAAACAUAAAAAAAUAGCAACAAACCUACUACCUAAGAUACUUUCUAAAGAAUAGAAACAAACCAACAAAUACUUACUAAGGAAUAGGUAUAUCUUCCACAUGACUAACUUAUUUGACUACUUUCACUUCAAUCUACUCAGCUCCAUGUCAGCAGCUCCUAGGACAUGUCAUUCAACACUCCUCCUUGUCUCUGGAGCUGCAGACUCCAAGCCUUUGCCUCAAGAACUCAUAUCUAGCUUUGGGAAAUGGCUUGGUUAAGAUAUCAGCAUUCUGACUUUCUGUUUUGCAAUAGACCAAUUGUAUUUCUCCCUCCUUCUGUACCUUUCUUAGGAAAUAGAGUUUCAACUUGAAAUGUUUUGUUUUGCCAUGGAACACCAGAUUAUUUGCAAUUGAAAUUGUAGCUUGGUUGUCUACGAGUAUUUGUGUGCUUUCCUUUUGCUCCAUAAACAAGUCAACCAUCAAUUUUCUGAUCCAGAGAGCUUGAUUCACAGCAACAGUUACAUAUUCUGCUUCUGCUGUGGAUUGAGCUAUGACUUCUUGCUUUUUGGAACACCAUGAAAAAAUAGCAGAACCGAUACCCUAAAGUACUUCUCAUGUCGUCAAUUCAACCUGCCUAAUCACUAUUUGAAUAACCAUGGAGAGUAAAGUUUUUAACUUGACAAAACCUCAUACCAUAGUCAAUUGUACCCUUGACAUAUCUGACAAUUCUUUUUGCUGCUUGAAAGUGAAUUUCACUAGCACGAUGCAUGUACCUUGAGAGUAAACUUACAACAUUCAUAAUAUCUGGUCUAGUUGUCGUUAGGUACAUCAAGCACCCGAUAAUGGUCCUGUAAAGCCUUUCAUCAGCUUUUGUAGCUCCAUCUUCUUUGCAAAACCUCUCAUUUUGAUUCAUUGGAGUUGCACUUGGAUUGCACUCUUCCAUCUUGAACUUUUUCAAGAUUUCCUUGGCAUAUUUCUAUUGACAUAUGAAGAUCUCAUUCUACUUUUGUUGUACCUCCAUGCCAAGAAAGAAUGUCAUCCUCCUAAGAUCAGUCAUCUCAAAAACAUUCUUCAUUUCCUUUAUGAAAUUGUCAAUUUGCUCCAUAUUGCUUCCUGUCACAAGUAGAUCAUCAACGUACAAAGAUACUACAAGUGUUUCAUCACCUUCUUGAAGUAUAGAGUAAAUUCGCUUAGGCUUUUUCUAUGUUGAAUGACAUGCCCUAGGAGCUGUUGACAUGGAGCUGAGUGGAUUGAAGUGGAAGUAGUCAAAUAAGUUAGUCCUGUGGAAGAUUUACCUAUUCCAUAGGAAGUAUUUGUUAGUUUGUUUCUAUUCUUUAGGAAGUAUCUAUAGGUAGCAGGUUUGUUGCUAUUUUUUAUGUUUUUCUGUUUUAAGCUAGCUAUAUAAAUAAGUACUUUGAAGCUUAAUAAAAUAUAUAGUCUAGAGAGUGUUGGACGUCACCAUUUUCUUCUUUCUCCUCACUCUCCUUGCUUAUCGUAUCCUCUCCCUCAAAAGCAAUGGCUUCAGUUGGCUCCUCGCAUUACUCUGAGUCAUGGUUCACCUUUGUUUGGGUUGUUAUACUCAGCUCCAAAUGGAAUCCAGUGGUGUACCGCACAUAUCCAGAACACCUUUUAUUUUGAUAUCUGAAUAAUUGUCUGAGUUCAACUCUUAUCAUUCAUUAAUUUAAUGUGUUACCUCAUAUAUUACCUUUUCUGCUUUGAUAUUUUGCCUUCACUUCUCCAUGUGUAUACAUAUUUCAUAUUGUUUGUCCAAAACUUUAUACUAUGAUUUUCUCAAUAGGCUUGAUGAGCUUCCUCCAGUCGACAUGUUUGUGACAACUGCAGAUCCCACUCUAGAACCGCCUAUCAUCACUGUUUACACAGUCCUCUCCUUGCUAGCAGUUGACUAUCCAGCUAACAAGCUUGCUUGAUAUGUAUCUGAUGAUGGCUGUUCACCUCUCACCUUUUAUGCUCUCCUCGAAGCAUCCAAGUUUGCUAAGCUUUGGGUUCCCCUUUUUAAGAAGUAUGGUAUUCACACAAGAGCUCCCUUUAGAUACUUUUACGAUGAGGAGGAAUCACCCCAUGAUAAUUCAACAGAGUUCAUCCGAGAAUACACAAAGAUGAAGGCGAUUCAAGCAAUUACAUUAAGUAAGACAAAUAAUUUGAGAAAAAAAUAAAAAUUGUCUUUUUAAUUGUAAUUUUUAAAAACCUAGAAAAUCUAAGUUAAACUUUUCAACAAGAGAAAUUUCAAAAAGUGUUUCUAAAGUAAGCAUAUAGGAUUCCUAAAAGAGUUAGGUGGUGUUUGUUUUUUACUUAUUUCUAAAUAGAACCUUAAUGCUUAAUAAUGUUAAAUAUUAUAUUAUUUAUUUUUGUAGUAUUUUAUUUCUAUUAAGUAUUAAAAAGUAAAGAAAAACAAAUAUGUUAUUUUUUCUGUUUAGAAAAAAUUAAGUAUUUUGGUUUUUUUAUUAAAUAAAAAGUUUAUAUUAAGUUAUGAAAAAGUAGAAAAAUAAAUAAUCUAAAUUCUAAAAAUAAAUUAUUUUAAGCAAAAAACCGAAAAAACAAACAUCCUCUUAAAUUUUUAUAUUAAGAAUAGCAAUACUUCUGCAAAACUUUUCAAGAAGUUUUUAAAAAUCCUUUUCAGGUUAGAUAUUGAAUAAUAAAUAAAAAAUUCUUUUCUUUCUCUUUUCAAAUUAUGCCUUUUUUCCUGUCAUGGUAUAUAGCAACAGUUAAAUAAAAACUCCGCAAAUAUUUGCCAUAAGUAUUGUGCAUCCUUUGUUAAACUGUCUUCAUCUCUUUGUAGGAUGAAUAUGAAGUGCUCAGAAGGAAAAUUGAAGAUGCAACCGAAAAGUCCAUACCAUUGUGAUCUUAGUUCUGAAGAGUUUGUUGCUUUCUCAGAUAUAGAAAGGAGAAAUCAUCCCAGUAUCAUCAAGGUAUAUAAAUAUCUCACUUAUUGAUCAUUACUUAAUUUCAAAAUAGACGAUGAAUCUUAAUCUAAUUUCGAGAUUAGAAAGACAGUACAACUAAUUUGUUUUUUGCAUAGAAAUCAAAUGAGUUUUCCAUCAGCCCCAACACACACACUGACAUGUUCAGUGAGUGUGUUAAUUUCUUUUUUCUUUCCUUUUUUUUUUCCUUUAAUUAGAAGAUAUUAUUUAUCAGUGUUUGGAUUAUUUUUAAAAAGACACAACAAAUUUAAAGCCGUAACCUUUUUGUUGACAUGAGAAACCGAAACAGUACUAAACGAAAUAUCACUGGGCAAAUUAAUAGUAUUCCAUAGACGUUCGAUUAGUAAUUAAUGCUGGUGCACUUGCAGCCUAAAAUAGGCUAUUGAUAUCAGAGUACUGUGCUGAAGCUUAUUCAAAUGACCGCCUGAGUAUAUCCCGUUGGACCUUCAUUUCCUCAAUACAUGGCCAAAGAUAAAUUCAAGAAUUAGAUUAGCUAUUGUUUAUGCAAGCAUGAGAUCUUACAUCAUUCUAAAAUCUUAAAGUGAAAGCGAUAUUAUUCUUCCCUACUGAGUAAUAUUACAAUGUGAUGUUCCAUAUCGAAUAAGAGAGAAAGUUUCUAGUACUAUAUAUGUAGAGACUCCUCUUAACCAAAUAGACGCGUUUUAAAGCAAUGAGGGUCUCUUUGGGUCCAAAAUGGACAAUAUCUACAUGGUUGGAUACAGGUUGUUACAAAUGGUAUUAGAACCGAUCCUCGACCUCGGUGUGGGGUUUGUUUGGGUGUUCGUUUGUUUGGCCCCACAAUCCCAUGGGACACAACGAGAACAUUGUGUCUGCAUGGGGGGGGGGGGGGGGGGGGGGGGGUUUUUUAAUUUUUCCCCCGAAAAGGGGAAAAAAUUCCCAACCCCAAAUUUUUAAGGGCCCCCUUUAACCAAAGGACCGUUUUUUAAACCCAAAGAACCCCUUUUGAUUAAAAAAAAAAAAAAUUAACAUGGGGGGGACAGGGGCUUUAAAAAAGGGUUUAAAACCCAUCUUCCCCCCCCGAAUGAAAUUUUUUUGGGCCCCCAACCCCAAAAAAAAAAAAANNNNNNNNNNNNNNNNNNNNNNNNNNNNNNNNNNNNNNNNNNNNNNNNNNNNNNNNNNNNNNNNNNNNNNNNNNNNNNNNNNNNNNNNNNNNNNNNNNNNGGGGGGUGUUUGUGAUGUUCUACAUCGGAUAUGGGAGAAAGUUCCUGACGCUAUAUAUGUAGAGGCUCCUCUUAACCAAGUGACGCGUUUUAAAGCCAUAAGGACUCCUUUGGAUUCAAAGUAGACAAUAUCUACAUGGUUGGAUACAGGUCAUUACAAAUGGUAUUAGAGUCGAUCUUCGACCUCGGUAUGAGAUUUGUUUGGUCCCGCAAUCCCAUAGGACAAAACGAGGACAUUGUGUCUUCAUGGGGGAGUGUUUGUGAUGUCCCACAUCAGAUAGGGGAGAAAGUUCCUAGUACUAUAUAUAUAGAGGUUCCUCUUAAUCAAGUAGACGCGUUUUAAAGCCGUGAAGACCUCUUUGAGUCCAAAGCGGACAAUAUCUACAUGGUUGAGUGUGGGUUGUUACACACAAUCUUUUAUAUCUUUUUCCAUAUAAACAAACAUAUAAGCUUUGCUUCCAGAACCAAUAAUACUACGACCAAAAUGGAGCAUUUAUUGAACAAUUCACACUGAUUUAGAUUGCUUCUUUGUAGGUUAUAUUGGAGAACAAGGAGGGCCUCGUGGAUGGAUUGCCACAUCUAAUCUAUGUAUCCAGAGAGAUGUGCCCAAAGCAUCCGCACCAUUACAAAGCUGGUGCACUGAAUGUUCUGGUAAACAAUUUCCUUGAACUAGUACUAUUCAUACCAUGUCUAGUAUCUAAUUAGUUUUCCCUGGUUGUUUUAUAAACAGACUAGAGUUUCAGGAGCAAUGACAAAUGCUCCUUUCAUCUUGAAUGUAGACUGUGAUAUGUACGCCAACAAUUCACAGAUUGUUUUUCAUGCAAUGUGUUUGCUCCUUGGUUGUAAGAAUGGACAAGACUUUGCAUUUGCUCAAUCUCCACAAAUCUUCCAUGAUGGUUUAAAGGAUGACCCACUCGGAAAUCAACUAGUAGCUACGCAGAAAGUACGUUAAAUAUUCAAAAUCUAAAAAUUGAUCUCUUCCAUACUAUAAAGCACAUGAGCUAUUUUUGGAUGGGAACUGUGAAGAUUUUUUGCUGAUAGAGAAACUUCUUUUGUUUUUCUUAUUAAUAUGUUUCAAUCAGUAUUUGGGUGAAGGAAUAUCAGGGCUUCAAGGACCUUACUAUUCUGGUACUGGAUGUUUUCAUCGGAGAAAAUUUCUCUAUGGGUUAUGGCCAGAUGGCUGCAUGGAAACCGGAGGAAGAAGUCCUAAUUGUGUGGCUGGUAAGAAAAUUAAUCUACUUUUGACAAUCAUCUUUUAUUACAUUUUUCUUCUUGUUUUGUUGGGAUUACAAAUAUUGUAGAAACCUCUGCAUGAUAAUUUUUCUAUACUUUUUGGUAGGCAAAUUAACUGAUGAGGGAUUACGACAAUCUUUUGGACAUUCAAAGGAAUUCUCUAAAACGGUUGAAAGGAUUUUAUCAGGGUUGAGUGGGAAGGCCGAUUGUCCAUAUGAUCUUUCAAGUUCUGCAGAGGCAGCAAACCAAGUUGCAGAUUGUGGCUAUGAGUGUGGCACUAGUUGGGGUACAAAGGUGAGUUGUAAAAUAAUUUGAACAACCAAAAAUGCUUGAAAGCAGAAUGGUUUGGGACUUAAAAGAUUAGGGUUAAAAGGCUUUUACCUAAGAGACUGAACAAAAGACUUCAUAGCAUAUUUUUUCUCUAGAACAAAAUACACCAUUGAUGAAAGUUUAAUGGUAACCUCUAUCACAACAUAGCCAGUAUACAGUAUUUUCGCAAAUUGACGUAUUGGCCAUGCGGGCCGUGAUCUCAGAAUGGUUGGAUAUAUGGAUACACUAGCGAAGACGUUCUUACAGGACUGAAGAUUCAUGCAAGAGGUUGGAGAUCUGCCGAGUGCAAGCCUGAUCCACCUGCAUUUCUCGGCUGUUCUCCCUCAGGAGGACCUGCUUCAUUGACCCAGCAAAAGAGAUGGGUCACAGGCCUCCUCGAGAUCCUGUUCAGCAAGAAUAACCCAUUCAUUGCUACCCUCACUGCCAAGCUCCAAUUCCGCCAAUGCCUCGCAUACAUGUACAUUCUUUCAUGGGGUCUACGGUUGAUUCCUGAGCUUUGCUAUACUGCUUUGCCAGCAUAUUGCAUCAUCGCCAAUUCACAUUUCUUGCCCAAGGUGAGGAGAACCUACAACCUUCCAAUUUCUUCACAUAUCAUAAUUACUUCACUUAGUUUUCUGUGGUCUAUAUAUGCUGGAUUUUCAUUUGACGGUUCUUAUAUAUGAUGGUUAUUUCUCAUAUUUGUCUCAUUCUUGAUCUGAUAAGUCCAUUAUUCUAUGUUGGCAUAUACUUUGGCCUAUUUAUGGAUCAAAAUUGACCUAACAAUGAAAUGUCCAACUCAGAUAUAGUUUUGUGACCCUGGUUUGAUAAAGGUUAAUCUAUGAAAUAAUGUCAAGAUAUCCUAUGGCGACUCGUCAUUUGAAUGGCCAGCUUGACGCCAAGGUAUAGAAGUUAAUAUCAUAAAAAACCGUCUUGAAUGGCUAGCAUUUUGCGCAGGUAUAGAUGUUAACAUAUAUAAUUUGAAUCUAGUUAGUCCAACAUUUGUCAAGACAUAUAUUGGUGGCAAUGAGUCUACAUAUCUUUUGCUUAGACUUAGGCCUUGUUUCUGAUAACUUCUUUCUUCUUUAAGUAGAAGUUGAAUCGAAAUUGAAGUCGAUCGUAAUUCUCCAAGGAUAAUAUUAAUAUAAUAAAAGUUCCAUUAAACAUCAAAUAACUUCUUAUAUAAACUAAAAUAGUACUUCUAUGAGAAAUAAUAUUUUCCUUACUUUCAUUUAAGCUAUCUUAAGUCAUAUAUUCUUUUAACAAAUUCAUAUAAAUGUGUACAAAAGUUUUUAUACAUUGAAAUUUACAAAGAACUUUGGCUUCUCACAAGCCAUUCCAGAUAAAGCCUUAAUAUAUAUGGAAUCCACUUAGAUAAAAGUUACUUAUAGAAUCACCAUCAUCAGCCCAUAUAACGUAUUGAAGUAUUAAUGUUGCCUCUUAGAACAAUCUUGAGUGAACUUGCUUAAAAUAGUUAAUAAAAUUUUAAGUUCAGAAACCUUUUCAUGUAAUAUGUUAACCAAAAGCAUCUCUGGCUCCAAAUCUGUGGAAAAUAGUUUUUGAACUAUAAAUCUUAUUUCUAGUUUAAAGUGUAUAAUUAAUAUAAUUAUAUAAUCUGCAAGGUACUUUUAAAUUAAAUUCUAUCAAGAUCUUAAAAUGUGCAAAUUCAUGCAUGCAUGCAGGUUGAGGGAACCAGCCUUCUUGAUACUAGCAGCUCUCUUUGCCAUUUACAACCUUCACUCUCUACUUGAAUACUGUAGAAUUGGGCUCUCAAUCCGAACAUGGUGGAACAACCAAAGGAUGGGAAGAAUAAUCACCAUGACUGCAUGGUUUUUUGGAUUUUUAAAUGUCAUACUGAAGCUCUUGGGCUUGUUCGAGGCUGUCUUUGAGGUUACACAAAAGAACCAAUCUAGUGCCCCUGGCGAUGACAACCACAAGGAUCUGGUCGAUUCACAUUCAAUGAGUCCCCAAUUUUUGUUCCAGCCACUACUCUUGUGUUGGUGCACCUGGUGGCAAUGGUUAAAGCCCUGUUAAACCUAACUCAUGGAAGGCAUGAAUCAAGGAUAGGAGAGGUGAUAUGUAAUGUGUGGGUGUUGUUAUGCUUCUUACCUUUUCUGAAAGGGCUGUUCAAGAAAGGAAAAUAUGGCAUACCCUCAUCCACCAUAUGCAAAUCAGCAGCAGUUUUUGUGCACUUGUGCAAAAGGGUCUCAAUAGCUUGAGAUAAUGGAUAGAAUACCUUGAGAUAUCUUUGCUAUUUUCAUGUUUUGCAGUACUUCAUAUGAAUAAAAUGGAUUUAAUUUUACAUCAUAGAAUUUAUGUUUCAUGCUCGAUAAUUCUUUGAGUCCCCUAGCGGAAGGACAUUAAAUUUGUAAUAAUCCAUGAGUAUCAGGAAUCAAACACAAGAAAGAUGCGUAAGGCUAGUUGAGAGGGGUGUAGAAGUCGAAGCUUAUGUGUGGUCUGAUAGUGGAGAUUUUCUAAAAGCAAGAUAAAACAAAACAAGAGUUGGUGAUGUAAACAUUGAUACCAUCAACAUUGAUAUCCAUUUUUAGGGAUAUGAUUGUACAAGGUGCUAUUGCAGUGAAAAAAAUCCCUAUAAUGGACAAUCUUGGAUAAAUGAUGACUAAGUUUGUUAUUACAAUUAAGUUUAUAUAUUGCUUAAACUUAAUUGGUAUUAGUAGCAUCUAUAGACCAUUUGAGGGUGUGGAAGUGAAGUAACUUGGAAGACUUUUCAGUUUGUUUGAACCUUGGGAAUUUGAGCCAAGGUAGAAAUUGUUGAAAAGUGUCUCAAAUUUUAUUUUUGAGUUAAUUGGAAAGUUAUAAAUAGUUUCCUGAUAAAAAAAUAUUCUUGUAAGUGGGUUUCCUAUUAUUAUAAAGGAAAUAUCCUAUUGCGAGAUCUUCUUUUAGGAAAAAACAUCUUUGAAAAUUAUUCAUUUAGUUUCUUAUAUGGAAUCUUUCUAUAUAACUAGGAAAAUAUAUAUAGGAAGAGAUUUUGACCAAAAUAAAGAGUCUCUUUUUGGGUGUAAUUGGGACUUUAAGAUUUGAGAGCUCUAAAUUGAAGAUUUCUAAAACAUCAGAAGAUUCCAAGCAUAACAAACUAGUACUAAAGCUUUUGCUGACACAACAAUUAAAAGGAGAGCAAACAAGCAAAUGGGUUUUGGUGGAAAAUAUAUAUGUGCUUAGUAUUUUGAUGAGAACUUGUGAUAAGGUGUAAGUCACUAUAUUCAAAAUCAAAAUACCAACUUUAAUCUUUAAUUAUUGCUUUCAUUAACUUCUUAAUUUUUAAUUACAUAAAUUUCAAUAACAUGAGGAGAUGAUGAACAUACAUAUAGAUUUUUUGCAAUGUUAUUUCUUUGGUUAACUUCUUAAUUUUUAAUUACAUAAAUUUCAAUGACGCCAUGGUGAAAGUGUAUAUAGAUUUGUAUGAAACAUUGCAAAAUUCUUUGCUAUUUAUUUUGUGCUAACUUAGAAAGAUCAAUUACAAUUCAAUUACUAUAGUUCUCAUAGAAAGCUAUUUCUUUGAAAUUAAUCUUCAAGUAAUUAUGACAGAAUAAAUUUCUCUAAAAUUAACUCUUGACCAAAGUAUAUAAUCUUACUAUUAAUACGUAGAUAGAUAUGAAGAAAGUCUUAAGAUGAUAUUAUUAAAUGACAUUUUUACCUAUGAUUCUCAAUAAAAAUAAAAAUAAAAAUGAUUUUUAAGAUAAAGGAAAAUAUUACUAAUAGUUGAAAUAUUAGAUAAAAGUAUAUCAUUAAAAUUCAAAAUUAUUUGACAUUUUUACCUAUGAUAACAAAAAAUAAUUUCCAUAGUAAGUGGAAUAUUAUUUACAAUUAAUCUAGCAAAAUAGAAGUAUAUAACAACUACAAUAGAAUGAUUACUAUUACCAUUCAUUGUAAAAAUGGGUUUAAAUUGAGAAUACAUGAACAUGGAACCACACACAGAUAAAUGUGAUUCAAUAAUUAGUUUUGAUAUCAUUUCCACAACAAUAAAAUAAAGUGAUAUUACUGGACAUUUACUUAAAUAAAACUAUAUUUUUUAAUAUUUUCUAUAUUAUAAAGUGACUAAUACAUUUUAUAUAUUUUAUAUAAUCAUCUUACUAUGAUAAAAAUUUAUGACAUAUAUUUAAGAGUAUAAAAGUACGGCUGUAGAUUUUUUUUUUUUAAUUAUUUUUCUUGUUUUACUUUUUAUGUUUGUCUUUUUUAUGUCACAAUAUUGAGGUGUGAUGGCCUUUAUUUUUUAUGUAUCAUUAAUUUUUUAGUUUUUCACAUUCUUGAAAACCUUUUAUUUAAUAAAAUAGUUAAAUUCUCACUAUCUAAAAAUAUUUUUUUUAUAAAUUAUUAGCUUUAAAUUAAUUUAUUAAUUAUAUUUCACUAUCAUUUGAUGUUUGUUGCAUAAAUAAAAUGAUAAUCUGGGUCAUGGGACCAUCAAAAUAAAAAUACGUUUAUAAACUCUAAUCUCUUUUAAUAUUUCAAUUUGAAAUAGAAACUCUUAAAUUUGUGUGUAUUUGGAUAAAUUUAUCUCUUAAAGGACUUUUUGCAAAAGCGUUAUGUGGCGAUGUGCACUUGCAAUGAUAAAAGGUCAAAUAUUGAUGUAAUUUUAAGGUAAUUGUAUAUCAUUAAGUUAUUUUUUAUUAUGUGUUAUUAGUUAUAAAACACACAUAUGUUCUAAUAUGUCUAAGGGUCUCCAAAAAGCCCGCGGGCCGCGGCCCGGCCCGACGGGCUAAAGCCCGGCCCAAGCCCGGCCCGAGCCCGUUUAUGGGCGGGCCGGGCCGCGGGCCUAAAUUUAGGCCCGACGAGCCGGCCCAGCUCGGCCCGUAGGCCCGCCUUUAAUUUUUUUUUAAAAAAUAAUAUACUUUAUUUUUAUAUAUAUAUAAGUAAUUCAUUUAAUAAGUACAAAAGGAAUGUAGCUUAAUUGGUUAUAGCCUUAAAAUUUAAGCUUGAGGGGAGGGGUUCGAAUCCCUCCUUCUCCCUUCCUUUAUUUAAAAGCCAUUUUGGCUUAUUUAAAAAAGCCCGCGGCCCGGCCCGCUGGCCCGGCCCGCCCAGCCCGGCCCGCCCAGCCCGUCCCCCAGCCCGCCAGCCCACUAGCCCGUGGGCUUAUAGGCCGGGCCGCGGGCCUAGCAUUUUAGCUCGGCCCGGCCCGGCCCGCCCGUUGGAGACCCUUAAAUAUGUCAAACUAAAAGUGAAAAUGAUCAAUAAAUAUAUUUGACUUAUUAAUUAAGUUUCAAAUUUCAGGAGAAAAAAAUAUAAGAAAAGUAAAGCGAGGGAUAGGAUAUAUGAAUAGGUCUAAGCCUUUAUAUGUUCGACGGAAUGCAAACACCAAUAAAUAAUAUUAGAUACAACAUAAAUGUUAUAUUUAAAAUAAUAAUUGAUUUUAUUUUAAUAUAAUUCUAAAUCAUUAUUAUAAAUAAUAAAAUAAAUUACUAAUAAUCAUAACAAUUUCAUAUUGUAUUACAAUAAUUAAUUAUAUAUAAAUAAUUUACAACCUUUUACUAUUUCAUUUUGAAUGUAACCAUUCUUGUAUAGAAGUUUCAUGACUAACAUAGACCUCAAUUAGAUGCAAAAUCAAUUUUUAAAAAAAAAGUUUAAUAUAUUUUACCCCCUCAGUCUAUCUCAUGUUUUACACAUUUCCCUUUUAGGUUUAAAAUCAAACAUAUUGAACCACAAACUUCUUAAAUUGCAACACUCUAUCUUUUUUGUUGGAUGGUAUUAGUUUAAAUGGACAAAAAUCUCACGUGUUGUGCACAUGACUAACUAAUGAAGGGUAGACGUGUAAAUUCCCAAACCCAAAAAUCCCUAAACAGCUCUUCCUCUCUCAAUCUUCAUCUUUGUUUUCGUUUGUAACACAUUGCACCCCUAGUCCUUUUUUUUUUUUUUUUUUUUGACAAUAAUGCUUAGUCACAAAAAAUAAUAACUCUUUUACUUUCUUAUAACAUAUUUUAGAACAACUAUUCUAAAAUCUCAAAUUAUUUGUAUGUGUGUAUAUGUACUUUUCUUAUAAAAUUUUUUACAUCACAAGUGAUUAAACCACACAAAUUUAUAAUAGAUAUAGGAUUAUUGUUUUUUUUUACAUAUAUAAUACAUCACAUAUGUAUUUACUAUUAUAGUAUAUAAUAUUUAAUCAUGAAAAAUUAAAUAGAUAAAUAAAAAUGAUAUUAGAGAUUUAUAUCUAUUUCAUGAUGAAUAAAUAUCAUGGUAAUAGCAUUUGUUAUUUUGCAAUGAUAAAAGUUAAAACUUAGGAAAAUUUAAAAUUUGAUUUUUCAUUUUUGACAUAAACAAUUUUAUUUUAAAUUUAAAAUCUUCGUUUCUUUGACAUUUCUUUUUCUUUUUUAAAGAUAAUAAUGUUUGUAUGCAAAUAAGAAUUGAUAACGAAUGAAAAUUAACUUGAAAUCUUAAUUUCUUUUCUCAAUCUUUUACUGUUUUAUCGAUAUAAUUAUGGAAAAUAAUUUUAAUUUGAGAUGAAUGUAAAGAUAGUUUUAAUUUUGAAUUCAAUUAAAAGUACAAUAUAUCUUUUUUAACAUCAAGUGGUUUAUAGAUGAGAUGACAAAAAAAAGUGGUUAGAGGGUGAAAUAUCAUGAGCUCAAAUCAUAACAAUUACAAGUUAAUACUAUGAUCAUUAAAGGGUUAAAAUGUCUUCCCUAUAAACCUAAGAUAGGUGUUGGGACAGUUGUUAUGACUUUAGAAAUUGAUUCAACCAUAAAACAUUCCUAAAGCAUAAACAAUAAAUUAUCAUUAAAAAAUCUUUUAUCACAAAACUAGAUAAAACAUGACCAAUAAUUUAUUAUUAAAAAAUCUUUAGCAAUAAAACUAGAUUUGUCACUAAAGAUAUCUCUUUUGUGAUGAAAACUUUUGUCAAAAAGAAUAUGGAUUUUGUGAUGAAACUAUAUAAUUGUCAAAAAAAAAAAAAAAUUAAUGACAAAAUGGUAUGAUCUAAUGGCAAAAUUAUUUUAUUUUCUAUAAUUUUUUAUUUAUUUAUUUGCAUCAUAAAAUUGUGAUAUUCCAUGACAAUUCCAAUUUCAUCACCAAAACUUAAUAUUUUAUGACGAAAUAGAAGAUUUGUAAAUCAUGAAUUUUAGUGACAAGCUUUUGUCAAUGAACCUUGUCACAAAAAAAUUUCUUACAAUACCCUAUUAGUGACAAAUUAUUGUUUAUUUAUGACAAACACUUUUGUGGCAAAAACUAAUAUUUGUUGUAGUGCACAGAAUAAAGUCGCAUACCUCUAAAGAGGUUUAUAUAGGCUUCCCUGUGGACUUAAGUAAUUUGAAUCCAUGUUGGGUUUGAGCCACUAAUCUAACCUACUUGGGUCAUAAUUAAUGAAGUAACCAUAUUUGGCUCCAAUAAAUUAAUCAACCUAGUCCAAAAAGACCAUGCAUGCUCUUUUGCACAACCUUUUAUUUUUACCAAAAUGUCUUUAUGCACAUAUGUUAACAAGGAACCUAAAUAUCCCUUAAUAAAUUUGUCAUCAAGGAAUAUGACUUAAGUGAUGCCCAUAAGGACCCAUAAGAAAAUAUUGGCUUCCUCAUAAUUAGAUUUUUAAGUUGACCAACACGUCGCAACAGAUAAUCAACUACACUCUAGUAUUCAUAAUCUAACAAGGUAUACGUUAUCAAUCUCUCAAGAUUAUCUUUUCAAUCAUUGAGAUUCAAAUUCUCCUAUUAUGUGAUCAAUUGACAUAGUCUAGCUCUCCAAGAGUAUACAUCGAAUUCAAAUUAAGAAAUUACUAUGAUGAUAGUUUUAUUGAUCACAUGUUCUUAGGAUCACUCAAACACUAUAAUAAAUAUCAAUUUUUAUCAUGAAAGUGAUUGUCAUAGAUAAACAAUAAUUUGUACUAUUAGUGCAUUAUGACAAAAAAAAUAAUAAUUUGUCAUUAGGUUUGUAGACACAGUCGCAUCAAUGAAAGUUAUGAUCCGCAAAUUUUCUGUUUCAUCAUGAAAAAUUAAGUGUUGGUGGUGAAAUUAGAACUGUCAUUGAAUAAUCACAUUUUAUGAUGUGGAAAAUCGUCAUAGAAAAUAACAAUUUUUUUCACUAGAUCCUACCAUUUUUUCACUAAAAGAUAUAUUUUUUGUGAAAAAAAAUGAUAUAAUUUUGUCACCAAACAUAUAUUUUUAUGAAAAAAGCGUUCAUCAUGAAAGAGGUAUCUUUAGUGACAAAUAUAAUUUUGUAGCAAAAGAUUUCUUUUGAUGAUAAUUUAUUGUUAUCACUUUGGAAUAUUUUAUAAAGCUCGAGUCAAUUUCUAAAUUCAAGAUGUUAAUAUUAACUUGCGAUUCUUGUGAUUUGAACUCAUGACCUUUCACUCUAAAAACACUUAUUUUAACCAUAUCAUCGAUAAACCAAUUGAUGUUUAAAAAUGUAUUCUAUAUUUUUAAUUGAAUUCAAAAUUAUAAAUAUUUAUACAUUAAUCUUAAAUUAGGAUUAUUUUGCAUAUUCAUAUUAAUGAGGUAAUAAAAGGUUGAGAAAAAAAAAAUAAAGAUUGCAAAUCAAAUUUCAUAAAAUUAUCAAUUCUUAUUUGCAUACAAACAUUAUUAUCUUUAAAAAAUGCUAUGAAUAUGGAACUAACUGGGGUACAAAAGUGAGUUGCAAAUAAUUAGGACAACAAGAAUAGUACCUUAAUAAAAUCCACGCGUCCUCUUUUACCUUUUGUUUAUUACUUUUUCAUUAAAUAGGGAAUUAUUUUUUUGAAAAAAAAAAUGUUCACUAAAAGUUACAUCAACUCUACUAUGGGCCACUCUAUAAUGGUUUUUGCUUCCUGAUGUUUUGGAUACAACAAUGUAAGAUCAAACUGGUUGGCUCUAUGGAUCCACAACAGAAGACAUCCUCACAGGAAUGAGGAUACAUUCAAAAGGUUGAAAAUCCAUUUGAAUUCUUUCAUGGGGUCUACAGUCAAUUCCCGAGCUUUGCCAGCAUAUUGCAUCAUGGUCGGCUCACAUUUCUUACCUAAGGAGAUGAAAACAAAAACCAUUUAGCUUUCUACAUAAAUAACAUUCUUACUUCACCAACCGUUGUUUUAUUAUCAUUUGAUGGUCCUAUUGAAAAUAACUUAAUUCUAAAUAUUUUCUACUUUAAAAAUGUAACUGGCCACCAUACCUAAAAUCUCAAGCUAGUAAUGUAAAAAAAAUGUGCCCAAUGAUGUAGGUCCAAGAGCUAGCUGUGUUGAUACCAAUAUCUCUCUUUGUCAGUUACAACUUUGACACUAUUGGAACAUAGUAGGGUUGGGCUUUCAAUCCGAGCAUGCUGGAACAACUUAAGGAUGGGGAGAAUAACCCUAGUGACUUCAUGGUUAUUUUGAUUUUUCAGUGUCAUUCUAAAACUCCUGGGUUGUUGGAGACCGUCUUUGAAGUUACAAAAAAGGAUGUUGGCGGGUUCACCUUUUAUGGGUCCCUGAUUUUUGUUCCAGCCACUACUCUUGUGUUGUUGCAUAUGGUAGCAGUGGUUGUUGUUGAUACCUAGUCAAUGGAGAAUUGAUUCCUUCUUCGAAGUGACAGUGGAAGCUUCUAUUCAAACACUAGAAUCUGGACUUCCUGCUUUCCUGCACAAAGAUGUUCAAACGGGUUGUUUGGACACACCCUCCGAAGCUUAAGUCAGAUUGGAAGCCCUUAGAGAGAGAGAAAGAGAGAGUUGGUUCGAGAACUUAUCUCCUCCCCCUGUUUUAUUGUAGUAGGGUUUUUAUAAUGUUCCGCGGUGAAAAGAGGGCUCAGCGGUGCUGAGUUAGCCCUGGUAAUGAAGAUUGCAUAGUAGUGAUAGGGCAAUCAUUACAUUUAUAGGGCAAUUGGGGGCUAUGUUAGGCAGCACGUCAUGAUAUAGCUUGUCAUUCCUCCAACCUUGCACCUAUCGAGGUAGACGUAAGGAUGAGAAGAGUCCCAUCAGUCAAUCUGGUGUUAGUUGGGCAGGGUCUAGCAUAUCAGAAAAGAUUUGAGGCUAUCAAAGAGGUGAGGGUUGCUUGGCAGCGCAAAUGAUCUAGGCAAGAUGCCCCAGAGUACCUUGAAGGUUGUCCGAACAAUGAUGAAAGAUGUGACAUGUGGCCUAACCGAAAGAAUGACACGUGGAUAGACACGUGGAAGUAUUCGUGGGUGGACACGUGGGAUAAGGUCCCUACAAUGCCCUCUUCAACACUUGCACUUGUGUCCGGGCAAGAAUGGAUGGGUUGAAACUGUCCUCUGGAGUCCCCCAGUGUGAGUAUGACACAUGUCAACCAUUUAUUGGGGGACACUUCCUCAGAGGCGUUCUGCUAGGUGGCGUGUCGCUUCGGGUUAUACAGUUUGAUGGCUAUCUUUUAGGAUCCCUAGGGUUUUGGUUCCUUAUAAAUAAGGAAACCUUAAGCCUUUUGGGUUUUUACUUGGACGUUUUUUAUUCUAAAAGCUUUUCCUUAUGCCAUUACCCUUCUGUAUUCUGUGUUUUCUGGUCACCGUCGUUCUAUCGCCCUUUCAUUCAUUAUCUCGGACAUCUCUUGCAUCUUGUUCUAUAGCGACUCCAGUGGCUGUUCAACUUCUCGAUAGCCUCGUCAUUUUCACCAGUUUUGGUUCAGAAGGCGUAUCUUUUUCCAGCAGUGGUCCUUGAGACUUGUGGUAAGAUUUCUUUCCCAUAUUGGUUCUCUGUCUUUUCUAUUUGAUUGGUUGUAGUUAGGGAUUUGUUGGAUUUUGCACUGUUUGUUUGGUAGUGGUGUAUAGAAUGAAUUAUGCGUAGUUCUUUUCUAGUGAGAGAGGCCAUUGUUGGAGAUUAAUGUGGUCCUAAUAGGAUUGAGAGUGUUGUAGUUGGGUCAUGGUCAAAUGGGGAGAUCCUUGGAUGGGGUCUAUCCUAUAGGUUGAGCUCAGGCUCUGCCCGGUUACAGGCUUUGAACAAGUGUAGGUUGGCCUUUAUACAUCUAAGGCAUUGUUUUGAGAACAGGAGGGUUGGGUGACUACUCUUUAAUAUUCGGUCCUUGUGCUGUGCAGGUUCUACUCGGCCCACCAUAUUAGAAUGGCAUCUCGAGGGGGUGACACUUCUACCAAUGCGACUGGUAAGGACAAGAAGAAUGUUCGACCAAGAGAAGUUGUCGGACGAACACAGUCGAGGAAGUCUAUUGAACAACUUAAUGUACGGGAGUUCAGGGAGCGCUUUCGUACUCCGAUUAGCAUUCUGAUUCGUUUUUUGAGUAGUGACCCAGUGUCAACCAAGCAGGAGCCCGAUGCCAUUGUUUUUAGUAAGGAGCACUUCAACGUCAGGUUUCAAUUCCCUCUCAUUUCCCUGUUCAAGCAGUUUCUUCACUUCACCAAGAUUCCUCCAGUCUUCCUCCACCCAAACGUAAUUAGGGUACUGAUGGGGUGUAGCAUUCUGAGUAUGCCAUACCAUUUGGACCUUUUCUUACUAGAGGUCCUAUUUAUCUACACCAUCAAGAUAAGCGGAAAGAAAAUUUUUAGCUUAUUUUCUCAUAUUCCAUCUCUUCAACUGGUGACCAGACUCCCAGAUUCCACCAAGAGAGCAACUAAAGGAUGUGUUGUUGUUUCAGGCCCUUGGUUGGCCCAUAUGAGCAUCUAGAUAACCCAUUUGAGCCUCGUUGUUCGUUAGGGAUUUUGGGUAUAGUAAACCGUCGUACUCUUGCUUUGUAAUUCAUAAUUAUAGGAUUGCUGCUAACGUACAUUAUCUGGUGUACUAUAGAAAAGAUGAGGAGAGGUCGACUGGUAGAGUGGGUGGACAAGACUUUUUUUCGACCGGCUGAACAAAUUAUUCAUGAUUUCUGCUAGAAAACGGAAUCAUGAGACUCUAUUGAUUGAAGAAAAUUUACUGAAAUUGGUUCGAGAUCCGGUGUCAUACUUCAUUUCUUCCUCUCUUCCACAUUUUGCACCCAGAGUGGUGGUGCCCAACAAACAUUAUGUGGUGAAUGAUCUUCCUUUUUAUGCAGAGGCCCGGGCAACACACAAGAGGAAAAUGCUGGACCGGUUUGCCCAAAGAGAGAAGAAACACUAAGAUGGGACUCUGAGACAAGCUCUGGGUAGGAUUCAUCCAACCACCAGUUCUAUUGCUCGUCCUCCUCCUAAGAAGAAGUCCUUUCUUCAGCCUGCCGAGAAGACCUUGGAUUUAUCUCCGCUCACAUCCUCUCAUUUGUCUCCUUCAUCCUUAGCAAAGGUUGGCGUCGAUCAAGGCUCAUCCGACUCGCCUUCUGUGGGGGUCAGUUCGGACCAGGAGAUUGAGCCAACUGUGUCCUUCAUCAACCUAGAGCCAGAAGAAGAAGAAGAAACAGAAGAUAUGGCUCCAAAUCUGAGGGUCGGCUUCAAGGAAAGGCAUUGUAAGCGCAUAUUCAAGGCACUUCUGGCCAUACUCCUGCCUGUUAAGAAAAGUCGUCCGGAGGCCUCUCGUGAGGAAUCGGCUCCGGACACUCCUACGGGGCAUGUGCCCCCUUUUGAAGCAGCCCAACCCUACUUAGAGUUAAUAGUGGGGCCUCCUUCAGAUGACGCUUGUCUAGUAGGAGACGAGGUUCCUACAGCUGCUCCGAGCAGCAAAAAUAAGGGAAAAGAGGCUUUGGCUAUUCCUUCGAGCUAGGAGGAUGUCGUAACGUUACUAAAGACAGUUCCCUACUUUACGACGCUUGAGCUCCUAACUUUAGGCAUGAACGAAUUCUUUCCAUUAUCUCAUCGCCAUUUCGUCAACCUAGGCGGCAUCCCUCAUAUGGUCGGCAUGGUUUAACCCUCAUAUGUUGUUCUAGACUUUGAACUUCGAUGCACUUAUCUUCUGCUGAAGUACACUACUGAAGAGAUGGUGAAAGUGGUAGGCUUUAUUCUUCUUCAGCCCAAGUUUGCCUAAUCAUUCUGGUUCUGACAUCUAUUUUACUAUUGUUUCAAGGAGAUGGCUGCUAUUCAUAACUUGAUGCGAUAGUGAAGCUCACUUCUCAAAUGGUUAGAGAUUGCGGAGAGUAUGCCGGUAUUUCUUACCCAACAGGUAGAUACCAAUGAAGAACUCCACUCUCAACUUGGUCGGGUAUAGAGCGAGUUGGUCGCAGCUCGGAUAGCAACCGUUGAUAUAGAGAAAGGUAUGAGGCGGCUACAAGAGGAGACAUAGGCGGCGAAGUCUAAGGCUUGCCGGAUGGAAGAGGAAAAAGACGCUGUAGAGGCCAAAUGCAAAGGCGCUGAGCAAGAGAGUGAUCACUUGAAGAAGGAGCUCGAAGAGUUUUAGGCAGCCUCCGAGGCUCAAAAGAAACAACUUGAGGAGCUUCGAGUCGGAUUCACUACUGAGAAGGAGGCACUAACUAAAGAUUAUCAGAAGUAGGUGGAUGAGAUGUUCUUAUUCGGCUAUCAGUGCUGCUUGAGGAAGAACGACAUCACGCAAGACAUCCCCACCUAUCCUUCGGAUUACGAGGAAGACACAGUAGUAAGUGGUCCCACCCUAGGAGAUAAAGAUACGGAUGCUCCUGGUCCCUUUACUGGGCAAUGACUUUCAUAUUUUUCAUUUCUUCCAUCCGAACUUGUAAUGAAUUUUUCAUUUAUCGAUAUACACAUUCCACGCUUGGAGCAGGGGUGUUAUGUCUAGCAUUUACAGAUAGUAAGCCCCUGAAUCUCCAGCUUCAGAUACAAUGUAAGGUCCUUCCUAAUUUUCUUGGAGCUUCCCGACUUCCUGUUCAGCCGUAUUCUCAAAGACUUUUUUUAGGACAAGAGUCCCAACCAUGAAGGUAUGUAGUCGGACCUUCCAAUUGUAGUGGGCAACAACUCGUUGCUGGUAAGACGCCAUCUAGAUGGCUACGUUCCCUCUUGCUUCAUCUGCCCAAUCUAGGUGUCUUUCAAGUUCCGUACAUUCGUUUCUCUGGCCUUGAAUGGUAAUCCGAGCUGUGGGCAUGCCUAUCUCUAUUAGGAUAAUCGCAUCCAUCCCAUAGGGUAGGGCAAAAGAGGUGGUUCCCAUUGGUCGUCCGGGUGUUGUCCGAUAGGCCCACAAGACUCUAGGCAGUUCAUCAACCCACAUUCUUUUGGCUUUCUCCAACAAUUUCUUUAGUGCAGAAAGCAGAGUCUUGUUUGUUGCUUUUACUUGCCCGUUGCUUUGAGGAUACCGAGGAAUGGAAUACAAGUUUUUGAUUUUCAGCUUUGAGCAUAAGGUUCUGAAGGCAAUGCUAUCAAACCGUGGCCAAUUAUUAGCUAUAAUUGCCUAUGGGAUUCCAAAUCGGCAAAUGAUGUUUUUCCAAAGAAACUCGGAAACGUAUUUGUCUUUGAUGGUGGCAUAUGCUUCUACUUCUACCCAUUUGUUGAAGUAAUCAGUGGCUAUAAGCAAAAACUUUUUCUACGCAACAGCGAUGGAUAGGGGCCCCACUAUGUUCAUUCCCCAUUGCGCAAAGGGUCAAGGGCUUGUGACCGGAUUUAGGUCAUCAAAGGGCAUGUGGGGAAUGGGAGCGUGCCUUUGGCACCGAUCACACCUCUUGACAUAGUUCGCAGCACCUUGUUUCAUGGUAGGCCAAUAGUAUCCUUGUGAAUGAGCGUGAUGUGCUAAGGUUUGUCCCCCUGCGUGAUUGCCACAUACGCCUUCAUGUAGCUUUGUCAACACAUACUGUGUCUUCAUGUUGUUUAAGCAUCUGAGGUACGAACCUCUAAAGGAUUUCUUGUAGAGGAUAUCCCCAAUCAAAGUGAAGCGGGCUGCUUGCACUCGUAUGUUAUGAGUCUGCUUACUUUCUUCAAGAAGACUUUCGGUCCGGAGAUAUGUCUCAAUUUUGUUCAUCCAGCCAACGCUUACUUCAUUAGUGGAGCACACAGAUGCGACAACUAUGGAUGACGUAUCCUGGAUGUAGAUGGCCAGUAACAUUGCUUUUUCACAAGGAGAGUAGCUACUAUUCCAACUAAGGCGUCUGCCUAGGUGUUUUCUGAGCGGGAGAUUCUCUUGGUGACCCAUUUGUUCAAUUUGUCCAAGCUAGUUUGUACAUUUGAAAGGUACCAAGCCAUGCGCUCGUCCUUAGCUUCAUAUUCUCCUUGAAUUUACCUAACAACUAGCUAGGAGUCACUGCGUAUUUCGAGCUUGGAUGCUAACAAAGUUAGAGCAAGGCUAAGUCUAGCGAGGAUUGCUUCAUACUCGGCCUCAUUAUUAGAGACUAGGAAUCCAAGCCAAAUAGCCUACUCCAAUUGCUCUCCGAUUGGGGAUUGCAAGAGGAGACCCAUUCUGGAUCUUAAGGCUUAGGAUACCUCGUCGAUGUGCAAUAUCCACCACCUCUUUUCAGGAUAGUUUGCACCAUGAUGAGGUUUUUGGGGUGUUUCAGCUAUGAAGUCAACCAUGACCCGUCCUUUCAUUGCCAGCCUAGGUUAAUACUUGAUUCCAUACUCACUUAGUUUAAUGGCCUACCUUAACCGUCUCCUGGAUAGGUCUGGUUUGUGCAGAAUGUUUCUGAGGAGUUGAUUUGUGAGUAUAAUCACUUGAUGAGCUUGAAAGCAAGGGCGGAGGUUUCGCGCAACACUCCUCAAGGCUAAGGCUGUUUGUUCUAUUUUCGAAUACCAGGUUUCUGCGUCAACCAUUGUUUUGCUUACGUAGUAGACGAACCUUUGCUCCUUGUCAUCUACGCAGCGGAAUAGAACAACACUGACAACACAAUCAGAUACUGCUAAGUACAUAUAUAAUUGCUCACCAGGUCGAGGACUGAUUAGAAUGGGUGGGUGAGUGAGAUAGCGUUUAAUCUUCUCGAAUGUUAGCUCGUAGUUAGUUGUCCACCCUACCGUGCUAGUUCAUUUCAGUGUGAGGAAGAAGAGCCUUAACUUGUUUGUAAAUCAGGCUAUGAAGCCUCCUAAUGUAGCCAGACGGCCUAUGAGGCGUUGUAGCUCCUUUUUGCAACUUGGGACAGAUGUUUCCAUGAUACCUUUAAUUUGGUAUCGAUUGGCCUCUAUGCCUUGUGUAACCAUGAACCCUAAAAUCUUGUCUACACUAACCCCAAAUGCGCAUUUGGCCGGAUUAAGUUUCAUAUUGUACCAUUUCAUCAAGUGAAAGAUUUCUUCUAAAUGCUAGGCAUGCUCAAUCCUGGUCCUGUUCUUCACCACAAUGUUUUCAAUAUACACCUCUAUCGUGCGUUUGAUUAAAGGUUUGAAGAUCUUCGUCAUCAACCGUUGGUAAGUGGUCCCAACAUUCUUGAGUCCAAAUGACACGACUUUGUAGCAAAAGAGUCUGUGUGGCAUUAUGAAGACGGUUUUCUCUUCAUUUGGUUGAUACAUAGGGAUUUGGUGGUACAAAAAAAAAACGUCCAGGAAGGAGAGCAUUCCAUGUCCGGCAGUUGAGUCAACUAUUUGGUCUAUUCAUGGUAAUGGGAAGCUAUCUUUUGGGUAGGCAUCAUUCAAGUUGGUGUAAUCGACACAGACCCGCCAUUUGCCUUAUUUUUUCGGGACAACCACUACAUUCGCCAACCACUCUGGAUACUCUAUUUCCCUGAUGAAUCCAACCGCCAGUAACUUUUCUACCUCGACUUGGAUGAAUUUUUGCCUAUCCGAGUGGAAGCAUUGGACCUUCUGGCAAAUAGGUCGUGAGGAAGGGACAACAUUGAGUCGAUAUAAGGCUAUUGAUGGAUGAAUGGAUUUCGAGCAUAUCGAAAUGGGUCCAUGUGAAGACACCUUUAUUACGCUAAAGUACCUCUAUGAGAGCUCUUACUUCUUCCGUCAUGAAGAGUGAGCUAAAAUAGGUGAAGUGAUCAUUUUCUUUUAAGAGAUGUAUGAUCUACAGGGGGUCGGCUGUUAGCAAAUCUCUUUCCACCGAGCACUAUAAUUGCUAUUGUUCCUUUGUACUAGUUGGUUCAGUAGGAGGCUUAGGAACACUUGUGGACCCGAAUUCUCAUGUUACUUGGUAACAUUGUCAUGCCGCUAAUUGGCUUCCAAAAAGGUUAACCUGUCCAUCCUCAGUCAAGUAGCUCACUAUUUGGUGAUAUGUGGAGGGGAUGACCUUCAUGCCAUGCAACCAUGUGCGUCCCAUGAUGGCGUUGAAAUGGGACAAGUCUUCUAUGAUUGAUAACAGCACAUUGAGGACCACUAGCUCAACUUGGACAAGUAGCACGACAUAUCCCAGAGAUGUCGUUGACACUCCAUUGAAUCCUAACAGUAUCUGUCCGGGAUUUUCUAAAGCGAAUGGUGAGAACCCCAUUUGUUAGAACGCGGACAUCUGUAACAAGUCGGCUGAGCUGCCUGGAUCAACUAAGAUCCGCCUUACAUCGAAAUCAUUGAUUCCCAACGUCAUGAUGAGGGCGUCUUGAUGCAAAUGUAAUACCCGAUUGGGGUCUACUAGGGGAAAAGUGAUUGUCCCAUCUAUUAGGCGUACCCCCCCUUCAGUCAAUCAUGGUUGGAUUGAGUUAAUCCGUUCUCGUAUGGAGGCGGCUCGGAGCAACCUUUGUCUCUUCCGCUUAGAGUUGUAUUCCUCAUCGACGGGCCCUCCAUGGAUGUAAUUGAUCAUGGCUCUAGGAGUUGCUGAAGUUGUAGGGGUUUGAGCAUCCGGAUCUUGGUUUGUCUGUGCUCGUCUCCUUUUUGAGCAGACGUACUGCUUUAGGUGUCCGACUCUUACCAGUUUUUCCAGUAGGUAAUGGAGACUUCUGCAUUGCUCCAUGGUGUGGUCAUGUUCCUUAUGGCAAGCACACUUUCUACUCCAAUCCCGCUUAGUAGGAUCCGUCUUGAUGGUUUCUAGCCAUCUAAAAUCAGCCAGAUCCCGGAUCAAAGGGAAGAGCUUGUCGUAUGAAAUGUUGAGGGGGGUGAGGCUGGCUUGGCUUGACUAAUGUCGUCCGCCUUACCCUCUUCCUACCUACCUUCGUUGGCUUGUAGUCUUAGAGCCCUUGGGUGAGUCAUUCCUAGCAAGUUGACUGGUGACCAGAACCUGCUGGGUAGCUGCACGGACAUCGUCUUUGAGCAUGGAGUACUUGUUUACUCGUCUGAAUAGAUCGUCCAUAGUUAUAGGAGGCUUUUUUGCGAAAAAUUAAAACAAGGGUGUACCUGGGCAACUACUCCUCUUAAAGAUUUGCAAGACGACAUCCAUGCUAUAAAAUUCUACUUGAAGUACAACCUGCCCAAAAUGCUUUACAAACUCCCUCAAUGAUUCAUUCUCCUGCAUUUUUACAUUUUACAAGGUAUUGAUGUUUUUUUUUAUGUCAUGCUGAGCACAGGUAUUGUCCCACGAAGGCCUCCGAUAGAUCUCGGAAGUUAUCGACGAAAUUCAUCGAAAGACGGUGGAACCAUGAGAGAGCCUGACCUUGGAGGCUGGCUGGAAAGACCUUGCACAGUAGCGUAUCAUUCCCUAUGUCAAGGGUCAUGAGCUGCCUGUAGUGCAUGAUAUGGUCGAAUGGAUCACUGGAUCCGUCAAAUGCAGAGAAUUUUGGAAUUAUGAACCCUCGUGGGGGCUCAUAGGUGAUGAUGUCAGGGGUGAAAAGCGUGGAGAACAUAUCAUCCAAUCGCCUACUGGCAAAACCGGGGGGACCUCUGUUUGUCAAACCCCCUACUGGUUGUUGUGUUGGCAUAUGGGGGAGCCAGUCUGUGAUGAUAGGUGCAGUUAAGGGGCUAAGAUAUGCUUCAUGGGCCAUUGCUUCAUAUAGUUUCCCCAUUAUGUUAAGCGUCUGAGGCCCUAGCCUUGUGUGCAUUAUGUCUGAUAGUUGGGACUUCCUAUCGCGUCUUCUCUUUGUUGAGACACGAGUGGAAUUUGAGCUUUCAUCCUACUGCGCGUGAUAGGCUGAUAGAGAUCUUUGUUCAGGUAUUCUUUCUGGUUCAUUGGAGGGGAACCCUGUGUUUCUAAGAUAUGUUGCCUCCUCGUUUUACCUAGAGUUCACUUGCUGACUUCUUGGUUGUCGGCUACGAGGAGGGCCCGAUGAGGAUACCUGAAUACGCAACACGUUGUUUUCUUCCUCGAGUCUCCUUGUCUCUUGGAACAGAGCUUGCACUUGUCGUUCACUCUCUCGUUGGCGUAUCUCCAUACUUGCACGCCAGCCAAAGUAACUCUCGUCACCCAUGGCUGUUGAGCAACUUCUAGAGGGUGUUGAUAUUUUUGUUCUGCUUCCCAUAGACGGUGCCAAUGUUGAUACCUAGUCAACGGAGAAUUGAUUCAUUCCUUGAAGUGAUAGUGAAAGAUUCUAUUUAGACGCUGGAAUCUGGACUUCCUGCUUCCCUGCACAUAGAUGUCCGGACGGGUUGUCCAAAUAUACCCUCCGAAGCUUAAGUCAUAUUAGAAGCCCUUAGAAAGAGAGAGAGAGAGAGAGAGUUGGUUCGAGAACUUAUCAUUUCCCCCUGUUUUAUUGUAGUAAGGUUUUUAUAAUGUUCUGCGGUGAAAAGAGAGCUUAGGGAUGCUGAGUUGGCCCUAGUAAUGAAGAUUGCGCAGUAGUGACAGGGCAAUCAUUACAUUUGCAAGGCAACUAGGGGCUAUGUCAGGCGACACAUCAUGAUAUAGCUUGUUGCCCUUCCAAACUUGCACCUACUAAGGCAGACGUAAGGAUGGGAAGAGUCCCAUUAGUCAAUCUGGUGUCAGUUGGGCAAGGUCUAACAUAUCAGAAAAGAUUUGAGGCUAUCAAAGAGGUGAGGGCUGCUUGGUAGCGCAAAUGAUCCGAGCAAAAUGCCCCUAGGUACCUUGAAGGGCGUCCGAAUAGUGAUGAAAGAUGUGACACAUGGCCUAACCAGGAGAAUGCCACAUGGAUAGACACGUGGAAGUAUUCGUGGGUGGACACAUGGGAUAAGGUCCCUACAGUUGCAACCUUGAUAUGACCAUCUCAUGUUGGGGUUGAAUCAAGAAUAGGAGAGGUAAUAUGUAGUGUAUGGCUACUACUAUGCUUCUUGCCAUUUUUGAAAGGCCUAUUUGGGAAAUGAAAAAAAUGAGAUACCUACAUCCACCAUAUGCAAGUCAGCAGCUUUGGCACUGUUUUUUCUUGCUUUCAUUAUUAUAGGUAAAAGAAAGAGUUUCAAGAAAUUCAAUUGAAACGAGGGAAUCUUUACUUUGUUAUGACAUGCAUCAUCCCACUGGUUUAAUAUAAGGCAAAUUUAAACCUUUCUUGAGUCCAUUUUUCUUCUCCCGAGUCUUACCUUUUUUACUUUCUUCUUCUGCCAAGUGCCAACAAAAUGGUAUUUUGACAUUUUUCUUUUCACCACAACUACAGCUAUAACUUUGUGGGUGAAAUGAAAUCAUGAUCAUGUUGUUAAACCACCAAUUUAAUCUAAAACCAUACAAAACCAACUUGAGUAUUUUAAUCAACCUUUUGCUUUCAUGUAAGUUUAGUAAAUAGAAAAAAUAAAUAUUUUGGUUUCCUAUCAAUUAAGGCUAUGAUAAAGUAUCAAUUAAAUUGCUUGAAAGCCUAGCAUUAAUAAGGAAUUAGAGUGCGUUUGUUGGGCUUUUAGAUGAAGUAUUUUUUCUAGAAGGAUUUUUGGUAGAAUUACUAUCAAGACUGAUAAAUGAUUUUUCAACAAGCUUGCCAAAUUGGCUCUUAGCAUGUGUCAUGCCCGACAAUGCAUUUCAUAUUUUCUCAAUUCAAUAUAAAUAUUCAAGUUUCUCAUUUUGAUUAAAGUUCCUCAAUUACAUGCUUUUCUAGUACUCAAAAGACCUUGUUUGGAUAUUUAAUUUUUUAAAACAUGUUCUAGGUUUCCUCUUUUUACUAGUUUUGAAUUCCUAUAGAUUAUCUUCUUCCGUUUGUGUGCAACUUCUAUAUACAACUCUUUCCAUCUUCUCUCAUCGCCGAAACCAUGCUCCUUAGAAGAGGCAAGGUUAUGUGUAACUUGUAUAAAUUCAUAUAAUCAAUCCAAGAAUGUUAAUCCAAGAAUUUUGAGGUCAGUCUUUUCAUUAUAUCUUCUUUAUGAUAUCAGAGUAGGAUUGUCAUGCCUCGAAUUCUGGGCAACCCAGAAUUCGACUCGUGACCUUAGCUCAAAGGUUUGAACCUAAGGGUUAUGUCUAUCCAAGUUGGCAAUCAGUCUUGAAAAUUAACCUGAUUUUUUUUUUUUUUAAAAAAACAAAACAAAAUAACAUCUAACCUCAAAUAAAUUUACUAACCUAAGACUUACUAUAUCAUAGUAUUUUACUUCAUUUUAUUUAUCUCCAAAACCAACCAUUACUUGUUCAUAAGUAUAAUAAAUCCACCUAUCAUUUUUCCACACUAGAUAAUAACCCAAAUAGUUACAAUAAUCUUUAAGUCAAAAAGAAUAUUUCCAAAAAUGUUUUACAAACUAACAAAAUAUAAUUUAAGUUAUAAAAGUCCAUAUAACUCAAAUUAGUACAUUUCAAAAAGGUAAUAUAAAUGAAAAACAACUAAUAUUAUGGUUCUCUUACUUUCUGGGGCUUUCUGGAACACUUCCUGAUCUUCUUAUAGUUCUUUAAAAACUAUAUCCGUAUUUAAAAAUUUUAGAAAAUAAAGGGUGAGCAUUUCCACAUUACUUAAUAGGGUGUUUUAUACCCCAAAUGGGUUAUAAAUUAUAGGUCAAUAAAAUACAAUCACUUAUUAAAAUAUAAUAUUAUAUCUAUAUUGUAUACAUUAAAUGAAUCACAACUAUACAAAUUUAAACCAAUCAAAAUUAUCGCUUCUCUUAUUCAAUCAUAUGCCUAACAUAUCAACAAUUCUAAAUUCACCAAAAUAAACAAUUCAUUUUAGUUUCGAAUAAAAUAUUUGAAACAUCCUGUUAAUAAAUAAUAUCAAUCAUUCUUUCAAAUGUAACAUGAUGCAAAUGCUUACACACAAUCAUGCAAUACAUUGUUGUUCUCGAGUUUUCACUUAAAUAUACGCAUCCGUACCCAAAUACACUCCCCAUUCGAAGUCUUUCCAAGGUAAUAAACUUUUGGGUCUUUCACCAUAGGGAUCUCACUCUCUUCUUAAUUCACCUCUCACGGACCUUUCAUUUCUCAUUUCUUUUUUCCUUUCAUUUUUGCCUCUUUGAGGUCUUUUCAUUCUCAUUUCCAUUUCACACAACCAUUUCUUCAUUUUUCUCUUUCUUCACACAACCAUGAUGCAUAUGAAGGGCAAUCAAAUCAUAUUUUAACAUCCAUAAUUUUUUAGGACAUAAUUCUAUUUCCUCCCAUUAUAUUUCAUAAUUUUCAACAAUCCACACAACAAUUUUUCUUCACUUUAAUCACGACAAACAUCAAAGAAAAUUCACAAUUAAUUUGUAUAGCAUCAAAACAUAGUUUUAAACCUUAACCACAUAAAUUCUAUUUAUUCCCUACAUGCUUAAUAAUUUUCAACAACUAAUAUAACAAUUUUUUUUCUUCAAUUAAAUAACCACACAUAUCCAAGAAAAUUCUCACUAAUACAAAUAUCAACAAAAACAUAAUUUAUGUCAUAAUAUAUUUACCUCCAAUAAUCUCAAUAAUUUUAACACCCAAUACAACAAUUUUCCACAAUUAAGCCACCACAACGUUCGGGAAAUUUUUUCCAAUAAUUCAAAUAUUAACAAAAACCCAAUUUAUAUCAUCAAUUUAUUCAUUUAUAAUAAUAUUAAUAAUUUUAAAACAAUCAUCUUAAACAUAUCUCAAUACUCAAAAUUUUGAACAAAUAAUUUUUAUUAUUUUCAACACUAACAUAUCACCAAUAAAUUUAUAUAAUUUCUAACAUGACAACAAUCAUAAAAAUAUACUAACCAAUAUUCCAAUAAUUUUUUUUUUCACAACCAGAACAAUAUGGUUCAUUCUAUCACGAGAAUAACAAUUAAAUACCAACAAUUAUAAUAUUUUUAUAUUGCAUUAAACUUUCAUUUGCUUCACAUUUAACAUUUUCAAAGCAAAACUAAAUCAUUUUACACGUUUAGGGUUUCCAAAAACAACCUAAAAGAAAACUAUAUGACGAUCUACUACACCCAACAACUCACCCAUUUCCAUGGAGGUUUUUGAAAAUAAAUAAAAGUAAAACGAAAAGCCCCAAAAAAGUCGAGAGAGAAAUUUAGGAAAAACACACCCCUACCUGUACAGUAAAACCCAAUUGUAUGAUCGAAAAUCUGAUUUAGUAGAAUAAAAUAAUAUUUUUGAAUAAAGUUAUAAAAUAUUAUAAUAUUUUAAUUAUUUAUAAAAUAUAUUUAUUUUAAUGUGAAUAAAAAAAUUAAAAAAAAAUUUAAAAAUAUAUAUUUUAAAAAGAAUCUAAAAAAAUUCAAAUAAAAGUUUAAUAGGACGAGAUGAGGUGGGUAUGGGAAAUUCGUAUACUUGUCUUGUCCUAUUUAAUUUUUUUAAUGAGAUGAUGAUAAAAAUUAUUUGAAUAAAUGGGACGGGGUUGGGACAGGGAUAACCCAUCUCUAAUCCAUUUUGUUGCCAUCUCUACAUGAUUGAAGAGGAUAUUUUUUGACAUGCAAUUUUUCUUAUAUUUUAUGUUAUUUUCAAAACUCCUUGUGCAUUAGAGUUGUAAACAUGAAUGAUUAAUUGAAUAAAUGAGGAUAAAGAUAAUGUCACAUCAAUAUGCAUUCCACAAAAAGGAAGAAAUUGAGUGGGAGCAUGUACCGGCUUCAUCAGCCGGCAAUCAUGCAAAAUUUGGUUGAUAUUUACUUCUAUUGUGGACUUUACACCAAGUUUACUCUAUCAUAUGGGCCAAUUAUCCAUCUCUAUCGCCCUAAAGCAUCAGUAUCCCCUAUUUGUCUUUUUGGGGAAAAACAUAAUAACCAGGUUGCAGGGUCAAUUUGGUAGGGUACACUGUCGAGUAUUGUGGACUUGGCCGCAAAGUACGACCACUGCACCUGACAUGAUCUCUAGGCCAUGGUUUCUUCCACAUGAAUUUUCCCUUUUCUAAAUUAUGUUCAACGAUAUCAUCAUGGAGCUGCCUGCCACGCUUCUAUAAUUCAAUCUUGACUUACCUUGAAGAUCAUGCAUGCUUUUGUCUUCCACAUUCAUUUUUCCAAAUCUUUAAUGCAGCUAGAUGAUUAAUUGCAAAUUUAUGUUGAUUAACUCUUGUAUUUUUUUAUCAUGCACGAUACAAACUUAAACUCAAUCUUAAUUAUUUUACAAAUAAAAUUUUGUUAAAUUAACGACACUUCACAACAAGAAACUUUGGAUUAUUAUACAUAUGUUCUAUCAAAGGAAGUUCUACCGACAUUAUAAUUAUAACUUGGAUGAGUUAGACGAGCGAGAAGACUAAUUUGUUUCAAAUCUACUACCAACUUGUCCAACCCAAUCCAAAUCUAAUUAACUCAAGGUUGGAUCGAAAAUUAUUAACCCACUCCACGCCCUACACAACUGAGGUUCCCAUAAGUCACAAUGAGUUCUUACAAGUUAUUAAGUAAGAUGAUUAUUUUAAAGUCUAUUUCAAGUAAAAUAUAUUACAAAUACAGGUUUCCAUGGGUUGUCUAAACGAUUAAACUGUGGCAAUAUUAAUAUUUUAUGGUUGAUGGUUUUCUAUCCCAAGCACCAAGUUAACCCAUUUAAACCUUACCCACAUCAAUUGGAACUGGGGUGAACCCUUGAAGUUGCAGUCCAAAGAGACGUAAAUUAAGGUGUCCAUUAAAUUCAAAGAUUAAUAUUUAAUUACCUAAAACAACUUAUGAAAUUUUCUUUAUUUGAUGACUUAAAACUUAUCAUUUAAUCUUAAUUUUCAAGCAUCAAGAUUGUUUAAUAAAACUAAUUAAUUUUUUUUUAAGUUAGCUAUCAAGUUUAACAUAUUAACUUUUAUUAAUAUUAAGUCAUGACCAAUGAGAGAGACAAUUAAGGGAGCAAGAGAUAAUAGUUGUGAUAUAAAAUUGAUGAGAACUAUCUUGAAAACUGUUUUUGCUUUUCUUUUGACUUUUUUUACUCUAAGGAUCCUUUUUUGAUGAUAUAUGUAUGAUAAAAAAGUGAUUUUUAGAAAAACUUUUACCAAAUCUUUGUAUAAGAUGUGAUUUUAAAAUUUCUCAAAGAUAGUUUUUGAAACUUUAUCAAAUACAUAUUCAAAAUAAGUAGUUUUAGCAUUUUCAGAGUCACACCCAAAUAAACUUUUAGGCAUUCUUCACUUUAAAUAGCCUUAUUGAGUCUUAUUGACUAAUAAUACUAAUUAUAUCUAUCGGUGGGACAGCUGGGAAAUCCACGAAUGCAUGCGGUAUAUGUUGAAUAAAAUCAAUGUGUAUCAUACAUUACACAUUUAUAUUGUAGUAGUAAUAAUAGGAAUAUGGCUGUUUAAUUAGGCUACACUAGUAUGUCCAGUGAGAAAAAACAAGAGGAAAAUUGAAAAAUUACUGUUGGGUUUGCUCUGCAAGGAAUGGCCAGCACAACUAUAAAGCCAUUUAUGUAACGCCCAAGUUUUUUUUUAAAAGGGUAAUUUAGGAAAUUCAUAAUAAUGAUAUUAAAUUAAUUAAUUAAUUAAUUUAAUAAAAUGGAAGAGGGGUGAAAAUGUAAUUUUACGAAUAAUACCCUAGGUAUAAAUAGAAAAUUAUCUUCUUCCUGUUCUUUUCUGAAUCGUAUUCCUGUUCGCAGAAAGUUUUCAGAGAACGUGAAGUUGAGGCCAGAUUUCAAGGUUUGAAGAACAAACCUCUAUAGGUAAGAUUCUAAUCCCUAGAUUAUUAUUUUAGAUUCAUUAGUUAAUUUCAAGCACAUUAGAUAUAUUUCUUUUGGAAAACCCCAAAUCUAGAUUAGGGUUAGUUUAUUUUUUUUUUAAUUUGUUUUAAUAUCAAAUAGUGAAAAUUUAAGAUUUUGAUUUAUUAUUGGAAUUUGGGAGAUCUUAAGUUUUUUUUUUUUUGAAAAGAAAAAAAGAUUCCUAUGAAAAUUUCGAUUUAAAUUAGGGUUAGUUUAUUAUUAUUUUUUUAUUCGUUUUAAUAUCAAAUAGUGAAAAUUUAAGGUUUUGAUUUAUUGUUGGAAUUUGGGAGAUCUUAAGUUUUUUUUAACAAAAAAAAAAAAAAAAACCUAUGUGCACUAGUUGCAUGCGUGUGGGAACUAUGCAUCCACUUUUUUUUGUAAGGAUUUCAUGGUUGAAAUCUAGUUGGUGGAUUUUCACAUACUCUAUUAUUAGACUUUGAUGGAUACUUGGGUAUGUAAUAUUUAAUAGUAACAGAACUCCGUAUUGUUAGACUUUGAUGGGUACUAGAGUACUGAGUAUUGUAUUAUUUAAUAAUGGCAGGGCUUUGUGUUAUUAAAAACAAAUUGGGAAUUUGUUAAUUUAUUUAAAUAAGGAAUAGAUUAGUUAAAUUAUAGAUAAAUUGUAAUAGUUAUUCCUCUUAUAUUUUUUUAGGUGAAGAGUAAAUUUUCAAGAUUAUUUUCUCUUCAAAGUUUUUGAGGACUUCUUUUGAAAUAAGAGAAAUUAAUGUAGUUGUUAAAUUCUUUUUUAAAACAAUUAUAUAUAUAUAUAUAUACAUUAUUUGAAAACGUUUGAGUUAUAUUCCGUUUUAUGCAUAGAUCAAACCUGUUUUGCAUGAAAAGUAUAUUAAAAUUUUAUAUUAUGUUUUUGACAAAUAAAUGUGGAGAUAUUAUAUGUUGUAAAUUUCAAUAAAGGAAAUAAAUAUUUGACUCUGGUUUGUUUGGCCCUUGUCAACGGGAUUUAAUAGUUGACUUUUGGUCCUUGUCAAUGGGAUAUAAUAGUUGACCUUUACAUUUCUUGGUGGGGAAUGUAAUUGAUUUGAACCCCAGCCUCUAGGGGUUUCAGUUAGAGGUUACUAGUACUAGUAGUGUUUGGUUCCAUCCACCUUAAAGGAACAAUUUGAGGCUAGCCACCCAUUUGAAAAGUCCCACCUAACUGGGCACCCUUUGAUGUUUGAUGACCAAAGUAAAUAAAUUAUUGGAAUGUUUUGACUAAAUUUGAUAUGAAAUUGUUUGAAUCAGAAAUAAAUACAUACAGUUAGAAAUUUUGAAUGUAUUGGAAAAAAAAAAAAAAAAUUUACUCACAGCUUUAUGAAAAUGAUUGAUUACAAUAUCUCCUAUUUUGCAAGUGAGUUUGAAAUGUUUGAUCCAUGGACUGCAUUAAUGUUCCUUAUUGGGCUGUGAGCUCAUUCCCAUUUGUUGACUACUUUUCGGAUACCCUUAGUUCGGGUGAGGAGUGAUGGCUAGGUUAAGGAAUUGUCAUCAUUAGGAUUUGACUUAGGAUUUUAUGUUGGAUUUUGUUUAACUGUUAGUUGUGUUCAUUUGGAUCUUUUGGUAUUUGGAAGUUAUUUGGAUAUUGAUCCUUCAAAUUUUAUGUUAGAUCAAAGUUAAGUUUUGGAGAUUUCGAAAUUUGUUCUAGUACUUGAAUUGUUUAAGUUUGCAACUAUUUGGACAAUGGAUUUUGGAUAGUGGAUGUUUGAGUUUUGAAAUUGAAUUUUGAGGAUUUUAGAUUUUGUUCCGCUACUCUGAACAGAUAUUUGGUAAUUGGUAACUUUCGAUUACAAGAUAAUUGUUUGGGUCAGGUUACACUGUAAGCCUUCGGGUUUGAAGUGUGAAAUGACCGUCACGCCCUUGGAGUGGGUCUUGGGGCGUGACAAUUUACACCUCCACAAAUUGCAUACACCAUCUGUCUAAUAGGGCAACUCUUAAGGUAUCCUCCUCCUUUUUCGAAUGGCCGCACCAAUCUCACCUCUCUAUGAAAAAAUCCCCCAGAAAAAUACACUCCAUAGAGCCUUGGAAUUUACCAUCUUCUUCCUUCUCCUCUCUCUCCUUGCUUAUCGUCUCCUCUCCCUCAAAAACAAUGGUUUCGCUUGGCUCAUCGCCUUCCUCUGUGAGUCAUGGUUCACCUUCCUUUGGGUUCUUAACUUGAGCUCCAAAUGGAAUCCUGUGUCCUACAUAACAUACCCUGAACGCCUUCUACAAUGUUAUCAGUAUCCAAUAAUUCUCUUAGUAAACCUCUUUAUGUACUUUGGCGUUUUUUUCUGCCUUCAAUUUUCAUAUAUGACUAUACUCUUGAUUUUCUGAACAGAGUUGAUGAGCUUCCUCCAGUGGACAUGUUUGUUACAACUACAGAUCCCAUGCUGGAACCCCCUAUCAUCACUGUAAACACUGUCCUCUCCUUACUGGCACUUGACUAUCCAGCUAACAAGCUUUCUUGCUAUGUGUCGGAUGAUGGAGCUUCCCGUCUCACCUUCUACUCUCUCCUUGAAGCAUCUAAGUUUGCUAAGCUUUGGGUUCCUUUCUGUAAGAAGUAUGGUAUUCAAACCAGAGCUCCCUUUAGAUACUUUUCCACUGAGUUGGUAUCAUCGAAUGAUAAUUCGAUGGAGUUCCUACAAGAAUACAGAAAGAUAAAGGUACGCAAACUAUUCUAGUAUGAACCAUAAGUACUUGGUGCAAUUUAAUUUUUGCUUCUUUACUUUUAAUUACAAUUCUUAAAAUGCAGAUGAUUUGGAAUUUGGAAUUUUCUUUUCCUUCAGCAUAUUGAGUAUUGAUCCUUUUCUUUUCUGUUUAUACAUAAACCUUCUUCAGAAAAGAAUUCCACUAGCCAGUAUGUCAUUUCUCCAAAUAUAUCUCCUCUUCAUCAGUGUACAGUGACGCUUUGAUAAAAGCUUUUGCAGAUAUCUUCCUUGUGCUUAUACAAUUUUGUUCAUCUUCAUCUCUUUUAGGAAAGAUAUGAAGAGCUUGGACAAAAAAUUGAAGGUGCAACCCUAAAGUCAAUGCCGUAUGAGCUUAGUUCUGCAGAGUUCGUGGCUUUCUCAAAUGUAGAAAGGGAAAACCAUCCGACCAUAAUCAAGGUAUGUUUACUCAUUAUUACCAUUAUUAAUUAUAUAUAAAAAAAAUCCAACACGUGCAGCUAAUCAUAAGAGAUUAAAAUGAUUGUAUAAAUAUUUUGCCCGUGGAUUAGUAUUUAAAAAAAAAAAAAAAAAGAGUAACCAAUUUAAGCUAUAACUAUUUGGUUAACAUGAGAGAGCUAGGGAGUGGUGAUAUUCUAUAACCAUGAAUGGUGACUUUGUAGGUUAUAUUGGAGAACAAGGAGAGCCGCCCUGAUGGACUGCCACAUCUAAUUAAUUUAUGUAUCCAGAGAGAAGCAUGCCAGGCAUCCACUCCAUUACAAAGCCGGUGCCGUGAAUGUUCUGGUAAGGAAGCCCCUUGAAUUGUGGUAUAAUUACUGAUAUUCCUUCUUUUCCCCUGAUUGUUUCAUGAUAAACAGACCAGAGUCUCUGGAGUUAUGACAAAUGCUCCUUUCAUGCGGAACGUAGACUGUGAUAUGUACGCCAACAAUCCACAGAUUUUUCAUCAUGCAAUGUGUUUGCUCCUCGGUUCCAAGAAUGAACAGGACUGCAGGUUUGUUCAGACUCCACAAUGUCACGCCCCAAGACCCACUCCAAGGGCGUGAUGGUCAUUUCACACUUCAAACCCGAAGGCUUACAGUGUAACCUGACCCAAACAAUUAUCUUGUAAUCGGAAGUUACCAAUUACCAAAUACCUGUUCAAAGUAGUGGAACAAAAUCUAAAAUCUUCAAAAUUCAAUUUCAAAACUAAAACAUCUACUAUCCAAAAUCCAUUGUCCAAAUAUUUGCAAACUUAAACAAUUCAAGUACUAUAACAAAUUUCGAAAUCUCCAAAACUCAACUUUGAUCUAACAUAAAAUUUGAAGGAUCAAUAUCCAAAUAACUUCCAGAUACCAAAAGAUCCAAAUGAACACAACUAACAGUUAAACAAAAUCCAACAUAAAAUCCUAAGUCAAAUCCUAAUGAUGACCAUUCCUCAGCUUAGCCAUCACUCCUCACCCGAACUAAGGGUACCUGAAAAGUAGUCAACAAAUGGGAAUGAGCUCACAGCCCAAUAAGGAACAUUAAUGCAGUCCAUGGAUCAAACAUUUCAAACUCACUUGCAAAAUAGGAGAUAUUGUAAUCAAUCAUUUUCAUAAACCUGUGAAUAAUUUUUUUUUUUUUUUUGCCAAUACAUUCAAAAUUUCUAACUGUAUGCAUUUAUUUAUGAUUCAAACAAUUUCAUAUCAAAUUCAAUCAAAACAUUCCAAUAAUUUAUUUACUUUGGUCAUCAAACAUCAAAGGGUGCCCAGUUAGGUGAGACUUUUCAAAUGGGUGGCUAACCUCAAAUUGUUCCUUUAAGGUGGAUGGAACCAAACACUACUAGUACUAGUAACCUCUAACCGAAACCCCUAGAGGCUGGGGUUCAAAUCAAUUACAUUCUCCACUAAAAAAUGUAAAGGUCAACUAUUAUAUCCCAUUGAUAAGGGCCAAAAGUCAACUAUUAAAUCCCGUUGACAAGGGCUAAACAAACCAAAGUCAAAUAUUUAUUUCAUUUAUUCAAAUUUACAACAUAUAAUAUCUCCACAUUUAUUUGUCAAACACAUAAUAUAAAAUUCUAACAUACUUUUCAUGUAAAACAGGUUUGAUCCAUGCAUAAAACAGAAUAUAACUCAAACGUUUUCAAAUAAUGUAUAUAUAUAUAUAUAUAUAUAUAUAUAUAUAAAAUUGUUUAAAAAAAGAAUUUAACAACUGCAUUAAUUUCUCAUACCUUAAAAGAAAUCUUCAAAAACUUUGGAGAGAAAAAUCUUGAAAAUCUUCUCUUCACCUAACAAAAUAUAAGAGGAAUAAUUAUUACUAUUUAUCUAAAAUUAUAGGUUUGACAAUCCUAAAAUUUUAGGUAUUCAAAUUUUUUUUUUUUUAUAUUUAUGAAAGGUAGUUUAAUCUAUUCAUAUUUUAAAAAUUAAUAAAUUUCUAAUUCAUAUAAAAUUGAAUUUAUUUAUUUAUUUAUUUAUUUUAAAAUUUAUUUCUUGGGACACAACUUAAUUAAACUAUAAUUUAUUUCAAUAAUUAAUUUCUAUGUUAUUUAUUAACUUACGCUUAUAAUUGUAAUAUAAAAAAAAAACUUUACUUCCUUUUUAUUUAAAACUUCUAUUAUCUCAUUUUUAUUUUUAUUUUAACAUAAACUUUAUUCCCAACAAUACUUCAUUAUUGUCAAUAAAAUAAUAGACAUAUAUAUAUAUAUAUAUUAACUAACCACCCUCCAUACUUCUUAGUAGGAAAAUUAACUGAUGAGAGAUUAGAAAAAACAUUAGGAAAUUCAAAGGAAUUCACCACAACAGCUGCAAGGAUUUUAUCCGGGUUGAGUGGGAUUUCCCAUUGUCCAUAUGAUCUUUUGAAUCGGGUUGAGGCAGCCCAACAAGUUGCAACUUGCAGCUAUGAGUGUGGAACUAGCUGGGGUACAAAGGUGAGUUGCAAAUAUUUAGGACAACAAGAGUAGUACCUUGAAUAAAAUCCACGCUUCCUUUUUUACCUUAAGUUCAUACAUUUUUCAGUAAAAAAGGAUUUUCGUUUAUUUUAUUUUAUUUUAUUUUUAUUUAUUUAUUUUUUUUCUCAGUGAAAGUUACAUUAACUCUACUAUAAGGCAUUUUCACUGUAUAAUGGUUUUAGGUGCCUGAUGUUUUGUGAUCAGAUUGGCUGGUUAUAUGGAAUCACAACAGAAGACAUUCUCACGGGUAUGACGAUACAUGCAAAAGGUUGGAGAUCCACAUACUGCCAGCCUGAUAAAUAGCAUAAGUCAUGAUGAAAAAAAUGUCAUGAGAUAAAAAUGAACUUAUGAAGAAUAUAUGAAGUAGAUAGAAGAAUAUACGUAAUAAAUAGAGAUGUGAGAAAUAAUGGAAGACACUUGGUGAAGUUGGAUUAAAGCUUCCAUUGACACAAGAAGUGGCAUCAAAGAUUUGAUUGAGUAUUUUUGGAAGGACAACAAGAAUAGAACACAAAAAGGAUUACAAAAUAAAUUAAUUUUUGUUGAAGGUAAAAUUGAUUGUUUCUCUCACAAAAAUGUGAUACAAAAAGCAUGAGGAUCAUGAUGCAUGACAAGAUCAUGGUGCACGAAAGCAAUUGUGACAUGCAAGAAGAGCAUGGUACACAAGGAAGCUGGGUAUAAAAUAAGGAUUUGGUUAAGACAAGCUUUGUAAAAGAGUUUAUCCUAAAUAACUGAAAGAUUAACUUAAUAAAAUUUGAUCAAAGGUGAAGAUUGUUGGAAAACGUCUCAAAUUUCUAAUUAGUAUAUAUUUAUUUAUUUUUUAAAAUAUUUUAUUGAAUAUUUUCUAAAUUCAUAUGUCAUUAUAAUUAUAUUUUUUAUAAAAUAAGGAAAGUCAUUAGAAAAUAUCUAUAUAAAUAUUAUAAAUUACGAGGGGAAAAAUUAUGAAAUAAAGAUAAGCUUGUGAAGACUAUCCAAAGAUAUGAGGGGAAGAGUGAAUGAUACUAGAUGGAAUAAGAGGACUAAUUAUUUAAGGUACAGAUACAAAGAGUGAAAAAAGAUAAGAUAUUUACUGAUCUAAUAAUUAAUUUAUUUUUAUCCUUUAUAAUCAUUUCUAUAGUAUAGUGAAAUGCUAUUUGUCAUAUAUUAAUAAUAUAGACAUGAAUAGUCGAAAAACCUCAUGUACCUCUAUGUGUGGAUUAUUUGAUUUUUGUGUUCUUGCAUUAACAUGUUUCCAUUGAAGAUUCCACUUACACAACAUAGCUAGUGUUCUAAGAUAUUGGUCUUGCUUUGUUUUUGCUUUUCAUUGUCCCUUGUUUUAUUAUCAUUUUAUGCAUACUUAGCAUUAGUACUUCACCAACAUUUGUUUUGUUAUCAUUUUAUGGUCCUACUAGCUAGCUAUAUUAUGCAUACAUAACAUAUCAUUUCUAAUUUUGAUGAAAAUAACUUAAAUUCUAAAUGAUUUCUACUUUAAAAUGUUCUAAAGAUGCAACCAAAUAUACACUAUUAAUACGGGAUACCCACAUCCACCAUUUGCAAGUCAGCAGCUUUGGCACUGCUUUUUCUUGCUUGCAUCAUUACAAGUGAAAGAAAGAGUUUCUAGUAAGUCAAUUGAAAUGGAGGAAUCUUUACUUUGCUGAAGAGCAUAAGUAUUAAUCAAAUUUGUUGUGACAUGCAUUAUCGCAAUAUAUAAUUAAAUGUAAGAGAAAUUUUACAACUAUGCACCAUUUUACUGCCUUCUUGUCUCUAUCUUGACACUCUUCGUUCCCAAAUAAGACGGUAUUUUGCCAUUUUGCCUUUCAUAGUAGCCGCAGCUGCAACUUGGGGAAAUGAAAUCUUGGUGGUGUUAUUAAAUUAGGUUGACAAUUUUGUUCCAAAAUAAUUUGAUUUAAUGCUACCACUUAAGAGACUAAUCAACUUCAAGAGCAAGAUUGAAAAUUCAAGGAAGUGAAGUCGAUUAAGGUGAGUUGCAAGUUGGGCUUAUAAGGGUGGUGAUUCCUUGAUUUGCAUCACUUCGGUGUUCUUCUCAAGGUUUUAUUUCUUCUCUACUUUAUCCCAGUGCAAAUUGGUACCAGAGCAUUGGUUUCAUGGCUAGUCAUUGUCAUCACAAUUAGAAUCACUGUGUUCUUAAUGAACAUAUUAAGUUUUCUUUUCUUAAAAGUUAAGUUCUCUUUUCUUAAAUAGUUUUCAUUUAUUUUCCCAUAUGUAUAAAUUUUUUGUAAAGGUAAUUUAGAUUCAUUUUAGAAUUCAUAAUACUUAUGAAGUUUGUGUUCCAAUUGUUAUUAUUAUUAUUAUUAAUCAAUAAGAAGUUUAAAAGUAUUUAACUAAUGGCUCAUUGAUGAGAACUCUAAUGCACCUAUAAAUUGAAAAGCUCUUGGUCCCUCUCUCCACUCUUAUAUAUAUAUAUUUUUCAAAAGUAUUUCCUUAUUUCUCACUAAGGAGUGUAUAAAGGGGGAGCAAGAGAGUGAAGAUCAAGAGUGAAAGAUUUCAAAACUGUUAUUUCAAGAACUUUAAGUUUUUUUGAAAUUAGGAAUAUAAAUCAAGGUGUACUUUCUUCUUCACAUCCUAUAUAUAUAUAUAUAUAUAUAUAUAUAUAUAUAUAUUUUAACAUUUGGUAUUAGAGUGAGGUUAAUCAUUUGUGUGUUUAAUUUUUUAUUUGGAUAUAGAUCAAGAAACACUAUAACCUAAAGUUAUGGAGAAAAUCUCUUGAUGUGAAAUAUUAUAACUAGACAUUAUGAAUAAAUUAUUUUAUUUUUCAUAGCCCAAAGCUAUGAUAACAUUUAUACAUCUAUAACUAGAAGUUGUGAAUAAAAGCAUAUUUGCACAUAUGAUAGUCCAAAGUUAUGAAUAAAUUAACUUAAAUUACAUAACAUAAAAUUAUGAAUUAAAGAAUUUGUUAAUAUCAUAUAGGUUGGAUAUGGAAAAGCGUUGAUACUAAUUUGAUGGAGUAAUAAGGUUGAUAGAGAGAAACACAAACAAUUAAAAAAGAAGAUUAGUUAUAGUCUUCACUAGACUCUUCAAAUAUGCAAGUGGCAUUUAUAGAAGAACUAUCUUGGGGUUAUAAGUCGUGAGCUUGAGAUUGUGAACCAUUUGAUUUUGAAGAAGCCAUGCAAAACUAAAAAUGAAAUAAUAUUCAAGUAAAAUAUCUUUCAAAAGGGAAAGACAUUUGAAGUAAAAUGGAUGUACAAAAUAAAGAAGAAUACAAAAAGAGAAGUAGAGAAAUACAAAACCUCUCAAAUCUGAAGAUUUUAGAAGAUUAAGAACAUUAUUUGAAGUUACAAAUUAAGUUUAAGAGAUUAUAUAUGUUAAAAAAAAUUAAAAAAAAAAACUUGAGGAGAAAAGUUUCGAAUAAAGAGAUGUAAUUUGAUUUAGUUUCUAAAAGUCAAUUGAAAUAUUUUAGUUUGAGUGAUUCAGUCAUAUUUUAUUACUAGGAGUUUUUAUUUUGUUAAAUGCAAGCAUAUAUAAAAAGGUUGUAUAAUAUUUGAACAAAGUACCAUUGGAGGAUAUAUCAGAGGUGUUCAACAUCAGUGUUUUGGUUUGAAAUAGGUUCUCUGUUAGGGGUCAUUGUUGAAUGGUGGUUGUAGUGGGAUCCAUGUGUUGAAUAGAUGUUGUAGAGUUGAUCCAUUAUUGAAUGGGAAUGUUGACUCCACUUUUGAUGAAUGUGGGGACAAUAAAGCGAUGUUCUUUCCAAAGUAUAAAUGUUAAGCUACUUAUUAGCUUAGCUUUUAAUGUUGUAUAUCAAAUCCAUUAAUAGUUUGUUUGAUAAUGCAUUUUAAAAAUAUAAAAAAAGAAAAAGAAAAAAAAAUCAAUCAUUUAAUUAAAUUUUAAAAAUCACUUAUUAUUAUAUUUUUUUUAAAAAAAAUAAUUUACAAAUGAUUCUCUCAUAAAAAAAAAAUAUUUACAUUAAAAGUUUGUUUGAUAGUGAUUUUAGAAAUUAUUUUUAACAUUUUUAAUACUUAAGAGAUAAAAAAUUUAUAAGUGUUAAAAAAACUAAAAACAUUUCCUAAAGUUAUUAUCAACCACAUUAUAAGAGUGCAUUUAAGAAAAAUUUUAAAAAGCGAUUUUAGUACUUCUAAUACUUGAAUGAUAAAAAAUUUGAAAUAUUAAAAAUAUUAAAAAUGUUUCUUAAAAUUACUAUCAAACGGAUUCUAAAAACACUAAUAUAUUCAAGUACUAUUUAAAACUCCAUUUCAUGUGCUGCUCCACUUCUUGAGUUCAAUAAAUAGAAAAGAAAGGAGGUUUGAGUUAUAAACACUGAAAUAAAAAACUCUAAUACCAUAAGUCACUUAUCAGUUAGACAUAAAAUAUAUAGCAAUGAGUCAGCAUAAUAAAUCAAUCAGUGCUCAUGACUAGAAACAAUGCCUUAAUCUCAUUUGUCGCAUAGUGGUGAUUCUUCUAUACCCCACCAAACACUACAACUCAUCAUGGUCUUCGUCUUUCGUUUUUUCUCCGCAAGAAAAACUUUCCCAACUUCAAGUUCAACUUAAUGAUCAUAGAGAUGCCUUGCCUCAUGCUGUGCCCAGAAUACAAAAUCCCGCUUAUGUCUUACAUUUUGUGGUAGAAAAUGGCAUCAACAUCACACCACAUCAGUCUUGUUUCCACUACUGGAACAGAAUUUUCAGGCAGCCUCUAAAUACUGAUUUUUUCAAAGAUAGCUAGGUUCAUGUUCCAGGUCAGUUUCUGUGUUGUCAAUGAACAGUGGACCUCAGUGGUCUUCAAAAGUGUCACGGAGUUGGCUGCAAAGCAUGACCACUGUAACGUACAAUAUUAUCUGUAGGCCAUGGUUGCUUCCUCCAAGAAAAUUAUGUUAUGUCAUAAGUCACGGAUUUCGUUGCGAAGCUGCAAUAAUUCAAACUUACCUUUCUUUAAGACCAUGCUUGUGUCUACAUUCAUUUUCCCAAAUGUGUACGUUGAAUUUUUUGUCAUGUAGGGGCUGCGCACUUAAGGCAGAUAUCAAGUGAGUUAAAGAAUUAAUAAAUUAAGGUGACAUUUGAUAAAUUAAACUAAAAACUUAAUACUUAAUUGUUUAAGAUGAUUUUAAUAUGACUUUUACUAAACUUGAUGAGUUGAAAAUUAUUAUUAAAUCAUUAAGUUAAAUAUUAAAAUAGUUUUUUUAUUUUUUCAUUUACUUAUUACUUAUUUUUAAAAGAUUUUUACUAAAUAAAAAAUGAAAAUAUUCGUUUUUUUUUUACUAUAUAUUAAAAAUAACUUUUUAAAACAUUCAAAACAUGUUCUCAACAUGACUAUAAUUGCAUUAAUACUUAAUACUUAAUAAAAAUAAAAUAAUAAUAAAAACAAAGAAUUUAAUACUUAAUACUAUUAAUUGUAUUUAAAUUAACUUAUUUUUAUAUAUAGGUAAAAAACCAAAAGUAACAUUCGAAAGUAAAAACCAAAACACAAUUGAUUGUCUGAACACAUUUAUAAUGCAGUAGAACAGUUCUGUUGGCCAAUGAGAAAACGAAGGGAAAAACUAUGGUAGGGUAGCCAUCCAUGGAGUGGCCGAUAUGAAGGAGGGGAUAAAUCAAUCCAAACGUCCAUUAACACCUCCACAAACCACAUACACCAUCUGCCCAACAAGGCAACUUUAAGCAAUCCUCCUCCAUUAGAUGGCCAAACCAAUUCCUUCACCUCUCUAUGAAAAAAUCCCCCAGAAAAACACACUCCAUAGAGCCUCGGACGUCACCAUUUUCUUCCUUCUCCUCUCUCUCCUUGCUUACCGUCUCCUCUCCCUAAAAAACAAUGGCUUCACUUGGCUCCUCGCCUUCCUCUGCGAGUCAUGGUUCACCUUUAUUUGGAUUCUUAACUUGAGCUCCAAAUGGAAUCCUGUGUCCUACAAAACAUACCCUGAGCGCCUUCUACAAUGUUAUCGGUACCCAAUAAUUCUCUUAGUAAAAUUCUUCAUGUGCUUUGGUGUUUUUUUCUGUCUUCAAAUUUUAUAUAUGACUAUACUUAUGAUUUUCUGAACAGAGUUGAUGAGCUUCCUCCAGUGGACAUGUUUGUGACAGCUGCAGAUCCCAUGCUGGAACCCCCUAUCAUCACUGUAAAUACUGUCCUCUCCUUGCUAGCAGUUGACUAUCCAGCUAACAAGCUUUCUUGCUAUGUGUCCGAUGAUGGGGCUUCCCCUCUCACCUUCUUCGCUCUCCUUGAAGCAUCCAAGUUUGCUAAGCUUUGGGUUCCUUUCUGUAAGAAGUAUUGUAUUCAACCUAGAGCUCCCUUCAGAUACUUUUCCAGAGAGUUGUUACCAUCCCAUGGUAAUUCAAUGGAGUUCCUGCAAGAAUACAGAAAGAUAAAGGUACGCGCACUAUUCUUCGUAGGAAGUAGGAACCAUAAGUGGAGAUUAAUUACAUUAGUUCAACUUACUGCAAUUAUUUUUUUAUAUAAUAACAGUUAUUAGAAUGCAGAUGAUCUGAAACUAGAAUUUUCUUUUCCUUUAAUUUAUUAACUAUCUUUCUUUUUCUUUUUUUAUUCUUUUAUAUAUAUAAUCUCCUUAAAAAAUAAAAUAAAAUUCCACUAGCAAGUAGUUACGUGUCCAAGUAUAUCUCCUCUGCAUCAUGGUAUAAUGAUGCUUUACAUUUAAGCAAUUUUCUUUUUCUUCAUCCCCUUUUAGGAAGAAUAUGAAGAGCUUAGACGAAGAAUUGAAGAUGAAACCCUGAAGUCAAUAUCAAAUGAGCUUAGUACCGCAGAGUUUGUCGCUUUCUCAAAUAUAAAAAGGGGAAGCCAUCCAACUAUAAUCAAGGUAUGUUAAAAGAUACAACUAGCUGAUAUGUUUACUUAUUAUUACCAUUAUUAGGUCUAUUUGGAUUGAUUUCUCAUAUGCUAAAAAGCAAAUUUUUUAAGUUCACUGACAAAUUUUAUAAAUAUUUGAUAAAUUUUAUGCUUAUGGCUUAAGAAAGUGCUCAAUAUAAAAGUCUUGAAAAUGUCAUAUUCUUUGUUUAAUAAAAACUUUACGAUAUCAAUAUUACUUUUAAAAAAUUAUAAUCUUAGGUUUAAUUUUAUGUUGCAUAUAAAGAUAAAAACAAACAACCUCAGACAGGUUCUCAAUUAUUACAUAAUAAGGGACACUAAAGCUAAUUAUAUGAGAUUAAAAUGAUAGUAUAAAGCUAUUUGUUUUUGCCUUUUUCUAUAUUAUAGGUCAUAUGCAAUGAAAAUAGGAAUUAUGUCAUGAUUCAAAACAAAGAAGAGGGUUAGAAAAUACACAGGAUUUCCAACAAGAAAUUUAAAGAGAAGGAACCAAAAACUUGUUAGUUCAUAAUAAGCUUAAAUCCGACCAUGUAGGCGGUACAAAAUAAAAAACAUAAACUUAAAAACAAAACUUAAUUAAAACCGACCAUGUAGGCGGUACAAGAACAUAAAAUGAAAAACAAAACUUAAAAAACCAUCCAUAUAAGAGGUAAUCAAAACAUACUUAUAUUAUACAUAAGGAGAAAUAUCUUACAAUGGACAGGGGUAGGAAAGCUUGAAGAAAGCUUGAAAGCUUGAAGGGCUUACAUGAUGAGAGAGAAAGAAAAGAGAAUGGAGAACAUAAGCUUGGGAGAGAAACAGAAUUAAAAUGAAGCGUGCUUACAAAUGAGGACCGAGCCUCCUUAAAUAGGCAAAAAAGGAAUCUUGAAUAGUAACCAUGAACAGUAGACCCGUGCUUGAAUAGUGAAUAGUGAAUAGUAAGAUUCACUUUUAUACCGAAAUCCCCCAAAAAAACCCUCUUUCGGCUGAGAAGACUUCUGGCAGGCUGCUUUAUACUGUGUAGACACAAGCUUGCUACUUUUUGAACAGAAACACUAUAAAGCUUGAAAAAUAUUCUUGAUGGAAGACAAAAGGCUGAUGAUUACUUAGAUCUUCUUAUUGGAGGAAGGAUUCCUUCACAGUCAUCACCAUUGUCUGGAAGGUAGCUUGUUGAAUCAUCCGACUCUGCAUAAGAAUUUUCUUGGGGGAAACUUGAGCUUCCUUCUUCAAGGAUUUUCUGGAAAUCUUGAGGGGUCUUAGCUGCUACGAGCAUGGCUUGUAACUGUUGCUUUUUAAGGAGAAACUGAGACAUAUUAUCACUGGCUGAGACUUGUGUGGGGUUCUGGAGGAAAUACUGCUUAACUGUAUCAAUAGAUGCAUCAUUUUUUAAGGCAUCCCACCAUUUUGUUUUAAAGGUCCUUCCCAGAGAUGGAAAGGCUGCUGAUUCAUCUGUAAUGAUAAUAUAAUCCCACUGGACUAUCCAAGCAAGGCCAAAUUUGCUGAAGAAGAAUAGUAAAGGGGGAAAAGCUGAAAGUUCUCUGGGGAUAUCAAAAGAACUUCUAAAUAGCUCAAAGCCAUCCAGGAUGGGCUUGGGAAGAAUCUUAAUAGUUGGACCAUAAUAAUUCCACCAACUGUAGAACCAAAAUGGGAAAGAGGAAAGCUGAUUCUUAGAUGGAAAAUAGAACAUCCAUGAAUGAUGGAAGUCCCUAUUAUGGAUCAGAAAAGCAUUAAACCAUGCUCUCUGAUAAUCCCAAUAAUUAAAAAACCUUGGCUUUGAUGGUUCAGAAAAUUCCCUUGAAAGAGUAGGAUUUCCUCCCCAUUGCUUGAUAGUAAGAAUCUUAUAGAUAUGGUAGGUGGAGAAUGCCAAACUCAUAUUGCUGAAUUUGUCUGCAUUAUGCUUAAUUUUAACAGAACCAGUUUUUGUAAGGACUGCUUCAUAAAACUCUCUUGUUCUUAAAAUAUCACCAGAGAGAUAAUGAAAAUUUUAUUGAAAAGCUUUUGCAACAAUUUCUCUGGGGUUUUCAGAGAAAAAUUCUCUUUCUAUAACCAAAAGAGGUUGAUUUAAAUCAUUUUGCCAAUAUCUUGAUUUUGUUGAAAGAGGUGUGGGGUUGGCAGCCACCACAAUUUGCUUGUUUGAAAAAGAGGAGCUUGAUGCUAAUUCCUUUUGAGAGGGAUUAGCCUUAAUGACUUGCUUGAAGGUCUGAGACCCUGAAAUGGCUGGAUACUGAGUGGCCUUGACUGGAUUAGCUGGAUCGGAAUGAUCAUAGUACAAGGUCAUCAUCUUGUUAGGCAUAGGUUUAGAAGAAUGAAGCCUUGCUUCUUCUUCUUCAACUUGUUGGCUCCAUAGCAUUUUAUGGGGAGAAGGAGCUUGACUGGAUUGGGUUUUCUAGCUAGGAGCUUGGGUAUUCUUUUUAGGGGCCAUGGUCUCGUGAACCCUGCAAAUUUCAUGAGUUGAGUGAUUAGGAAUGAAACUUUCUCCUUUAAUAAUCUUGAUUUGAAAAUUAGGGUUUAAAAUAAUCCAAUCAAUUAAAUUAUACUUAAAAGAAAUAUACUUAAUUGUUUUCUCAGAUGUGAAAACAACUUUUAAAAUUCCUUGGUUCAAAAUAUCAAUUUGAAAUUUUGAAAUGCAUAAAGGAAUGCUUAAAAUAUCAUUUAUAAUGAGAUUAUGAAUGAAUUGGGUACCUAAUAUCUUAGGUGGAUCAUCUAUUCUAACAAUAUUAAUUUCUUGAUCACAUCGAGUGAUGUUUUCAAUAGGAUUAGAAAAUUCAAAAAGAAUUUCCUUAUCAAAAAACUUUGUUCUUAUACCUUGGUUAUCUACCCACAAUGGAUAAAUAGAGCUUAAGAAGGGUAUUCCUAGAAGGGCUUUUUCAUUAAGGUCCUUAACAAGGAUAAAGGUUUGCUUAAUACAGAUGUCAUGGUUACGGAUAUGAACAUCUGUUAAUUUAUACUUAAUGGCAAGUCUUUUGCCAUUGGCUCCAAAUAGAGACUGACUAGUCUCUUCGCAUAAAGGAAUAGGUACAAGACCUUCUUGAAGGCAAUUUUCAGCUGCUCCUGAAUCAAUCAAAGCAAUAAUAUCAAAGACAAAUUUAUCUUUGACUACUAUAGUAAGGGAGACUUCCCACCUCUGGAAGAUAACCCUACUCACAGUAUUCAAAAAAGUAUAUGUCUCAUUAUCAUUAACAUGAGAAGAUUCUGGAAUAUCCAUAAGGUUUCCUUGGUUGACCAUCUUAUUGAUUUGAUCUUGGAGAUCAGAGAGACCUAAACUUAUGAAUUGUCUUAACUCUUUAAUCUCCUUUUUAUGCUGCUUAACUUCUUCAUGAAGUUCCUUAAUGCUGACAUCCUUGGGAGACUGUUGGUCAAACCUGUUUAAGAUAUCAUUAAAGUUAUAAGGAUUAACAGUCUUCUUGGCUUCUACCUUGACAACAGAUUUCUUAAAAACUUCAUAAAGAUUUUGCUUAGUCUUUUCAUCUUCAACUUUUCUUAAAGUAUCUAGGAUAAAUUCCUGAUCUUGGCUUAUGACAUUUAUAGUUUUAGGACGGCAAUUACAAUUUCCUUUAAUACAUUCUGCUUAGUCACUAGAAGAUUGGCUGUAAACUUCACCACUACUGUCUAGUUGAUUAAUGUCAUCUUCAUUAUCUGAAUCAGUCCUUGAUUCAGAAUCUAAGUUUAACAUUACCUUACAAAGCAUAUUUUUUAAGUCAUCUGAGACACUUAAGUUAUUAAUCUUUUGCUUAACUCUACAAUCUUUUUUAUAAUGGCCAACUUUGCCACAUUUAAAACAGAUGAUUGGCUUGACAUCUAAAGGAGUUUCUACCUUUUUCUGGGUAUCUUUGUUGAUCCUUCUUUGGAUGUGCCUUGAAUGCUUAGUAUCAUUCAUCCUAUAGUUGUCAUGGGUACCUCUCUUACUGUGGUAAAACUUAUCUUUGUUAGGCUUCCUACUUGGUUUUUGCUUAGAGGGAGGCAUAGUUUCUUUUUGGCUGAAACCAAACUGGCUACAGAAUGAUCCAAAUUCAUUCUUGUAGAUUUUUUUGUUCAUUCUUCAUUUGUUGCUUAAGCUUGAAGUCAUUGCACAACUUAAUCCCUUCAGCUAUGACAAUGCUUAUAAUCUCACCAUAGGUUAACUUAUCAUAAGGGAUUUGACCAUUAUACUGUUCCCUUAUCUUGAUCCUAAUUCUCUCAGAGAAAAGCUUAGGUAAUCCUGAGAUGAACUUUUCUUUCCAAAAAGACUGGUUACAAUCUGAUCUUAGCAUGACUUUGGUUAGGAAGACUUUCUUAUACCACCUAAAAUCAUGAAGCUUGGGACACUUAAGGUUGGUUAAGAGAUCUGCAGUUUUAUCCUUAAUUUUUGCAGGAUCUCCAAUGAAGUGCUUGGAUAUUGAGUAGAUUAAAGUAGCCACUGCAUCCUCAAUAUCUUGGUCAUCUUCGUCCUUAACAACUUCAUUACUCUCAUUAAUCCUAUAGGCUUUAAGGAUACUAUUCCUAUCAUCAAAAGUGAGAUAAUUAUCCCACCAACCCUUAAGCUGACCUGUAAAUCUAGCAACAAUGGUCUGAGCUACAGCAUGAUCUGGCAGUCUAUUGUUUAAUUUAUAGGCUGUACUUACCAUGGUCAUCUCUUGAAGCUUAGUGAGUAUGUUAUACUCGGUCAUACCAUCUAUGUUCCAUUCAUAGAUAGUACCACUGGUGUAUGAGGCUUGAGUAUACUGAUUUCUUUCUUCAAACUGCAUGUCAGGAAAAGUAGGUCUAGGAUAAUAAUUCCUAGUCUUAAAGGCUUCCAAGUUGUUAAUAAUUUGAUUAUGGGGUUCCUCAAACAUCUUAAUUAGUUCAUCAGCUUCUUCUUCUGAACUAAUAUCACCUUUAACCAUAUUGAUUCUCUUAUCAGGCUGAACAGUCAAAGGGGCAACAAGAUUAUCCUUAAUCUUCUGAUUAAUCCUAUCAACAAAAUCCUGGUUGAUUUGGGGAUUUUCUUGGAAUUCCUUAGAAAAUUCAAAGGACUCAGUGCUCUUCGUGUUAUUAACACGCUUAUAAGGAUAAUCUGGAUAUUCCUCUUGUUUGAAGAUUUCAAACCAAAUCCAAAACUUAAUAUUUUUCUUUUCUUAUCUUAAGUAGGCAUAGAAUUCCUCUUGGUAAAUGGUUCUAAUGACCUUAGGGACAGUGCUAAAGAACCAAUCAUUUCUUUGCUUAUUGACUUCAGAAUAGAAGCCUUUUCUUAAGAGAUCCUUGUUGAUCUCAAAGUCCUCAUCACUUAGGCUUAUUGUGUUAAUCAUCUGGGAAUAGGUAGGAGACAUAACAUGGGACUCAUCCUGUUGGGAUUCCUGAGUAGACUCAUUUUCUUCACUGUAAAAUGGUCUAGCCACGUUGGUGUGACUUCUAACACCAGUUAGCUUAAUGUUCUUAGGGUUUCCUGAGCUGGAUCCUUCUUCUUCCCUAGUGGUUCUAACUGGGAUGGAAGAGCUUGAAGCUCUAGAGGGUUCAUAAACAUAAACUCUAGGGCUGCUGGAAUGUCUGAAAGAGUUGGAGAAAACCAAUUCUCCUCCUCCAUCAGGAUAUUGAACAAUUUGUUCAAUACUUUCAGAACGCUGUGCUAUGGCUGGAACAGCAAAAUGCCAAUUUUCAGGAAACUCAACAUCUUUCCACAAGAUCUUCUUGGGAAUGAUGAAAUCUGACUUAUCUAGCAUAUUUGAAUGAAAGUAAGUGGUCUCACCUUUAGGACUGGUGCAAAGAGCCCCAGAUCCAACGCUUGUGUUCAUGCUCUUAUAGGCAAACCUGGUUAUGAUAGAAACAGGACUGUUUCCUGGUUUGAUCAUAAAGCCAUGAGUCUUAAUAUGCAAAACAACGGAAUCUAAGAUGUCUGCAUCUCUUAUUUUAACUGUGAAGUUAGGAUAUCACUGGAAAUAAACUGGGCCAUCAUUCAGUCCAGCUUGGACUGCGCCUAUAAUAGAAUCUCGAUAUUCGAGAUGCCUAUUAUCCCUUAAACACAUGACAAUAGAGGUGUUUAAACCUAAUCUUGUCAAAGGCUUAGCUGCUACUUGAAUCAUACCAAAGUGUAUGAAAUUAUAGCCAUCUUUCUUAUGCUUAUCAAUGGAUCUGUUAUCUAGAAGUCUUAUGACUUGGUCAUCUUGUUCUAAGCUGACAGACAUUUCAGAGGUCUUAAUGGUAUAAUCUGUGAAGAACUUAAAGGUUCCUUUCUUAUAAAUUUCUUGAUUAGACACCUUGGGUAACUUCCAAUCAUCUAAAUCAUUUUGGAUCUUAGGAUAAUUGAUCUCUUCACUGUUUACAAUAGUAUCUUGAGAAUCACUGGAUCUCCUAGACAUGGUUAUGAAAAUUGAACUCAUUUUAGGGUUUUUGAACUAGAGCCUAAUAGCAGAUUGACAGACCUUAUGAGAUGUCACCCCAACCCUCUUACAGCCUAACAAACGCCUAUCCACGGCUAACAACGGCUCAACCGGCAAGGCUCGCACUCCCAGGCACACUGCUACCUAUCCUAGGAUAGGCCAAGAACACCUAAAACAAGACCCAACUUCCCUCCCACAUGGCUCUGAUACCAUAGACACCCAGGACAAGGUCAUAUGCAAUGAAAACAGGAAUUAUGCCAUGAUUCAAAACAAAGAAGAGGGUUAGAAAAUACACAGGAUAUCCAACAAGAAAUUUAAAGAGAAGGAACAAAAAACUUGUCAGUUCAUAAUAAGCUUAAAACUGACCAUGUAGGCGGUACAAAAUAAAAAACAUAAACUUAAAAACAAAACUUAAUUAAAACUGACCAUGUAGGCGGUACAAGAACAUAAAAUGAAAAACAAAACUUAAAAAACCAUCCAUAUAGGAGGUAAUCAAAACAUACUUAUAUUAUACAUAAGGAGAAAUAUCUUACAAUGGACAGGGAUAGGAAAGCUUGAAGAAAGCUUGAAGGGCUUACAUGAUGAGAGAGGAAGAAGAGAGAAGGGAGAGCAUAAGCUUGGGAGAGAAACAGAACUAAAAUGAAGCGUGCUUACAAAUGAGGACCGAGCCUCCUUAAAUAGGCAAAAAAGGAAUCUUAAAUAGUAACCAUGAACAGUAGACCCGUGCUUGAAUAGUGCUUGAAUAGUAAAAGUGAACAGUAAGACUGAACUGUAGCACUUUUGACUAUUGACUCGGAAUCUUGCUUUCGGCUGAAAUGACUAUUAGUCAAUUAAUCAAGGAGGAAUAUAUUCCGAGCGGUGAUCCAUUAGGAGUUGAGUAUCUUGAAUAGUGGAUUUGAACGCUAAAGGAUCAAUCUUUUUGCUGCAGAAGAUCUGAUGACGGGAAUCCGCAGCAAUGAGAUACCCCAUGUUUUUAGGGUAGGCUUCAAAGUCUCUGUUGAUAACUCUAACUCUCCAAUGCUUAAUUUGUUUAAUAAUUGGUUCGGCGCAAAUCUCAUUUUGCAAUAAGGGGUUUAACAAAAGUGUAGGCUUUCUAUUUUGAUAAUGAAGAUUAACAUAAUGCUGAGCUGGAAGAACAUUGCCAUUAGAAAUCCAUUCAGGAGCUUUGCUGAAGAAAAUGGCAUCUGCAAAUUUCUUAUUUAACUUAAAGCCUUGGGUUAAGCUUAAGUUAAUCUUUCUGCCAAAAUUGCUUGCUUGACUAGGAUCAGAACAAAUAAGCUGGUAGACUAACCCGUACUCAAGAAGCUUUUCAGGAGUUAGGGUUAUAACUCCUCCCUUGAAAGCGAUGUUAAUUGGCUGAUAAUGCUGAAGAUCAAUAGAGGCUCUACUGAUAGUGAAAUUUCUAUUGCAAUUGCACAAAUGCUUGUUGUCAUGCUGAUGCAGAAGUGGCUCACUAAUAUUUCUGCAAAUCUUUGAAUCAUCAAAUUCCAUCUCCUUAAUUAAAUUUAGUCCUGGAACACUGAGACCAGGAAUAGCUGAGAGAUAGAUAUGCAGAUCCUGAAGAUAGGCUGAAAUGAAAACUUGCAUUUCUUCUGCACUGGACUUGGCCUUUUCACAAAUUAGACGAUAAACAUCUGGCUUAAGAUUAUAUAGGAGUUGAUUCCUAUGAUGAAACAUUCUAAAGAGAAGGCAAUCUUGCUCUUCCUUACUUAAUUUUUUUCUCAUUCACCAAUGGGGUGAAUGGUUUUUUCUCACAUUUUUCCAGUGGGGAAAAAGAGGCUUGGCUUAUAUCUCCCUUAGGAAAGUUAGCUAUUUCUAGCAUUCUUUCGAGAUCCCUGCAUUUAGCCUGCAAAACAUGAAUACUUUUUUGAAUAGAUAAGGGGUUAGUAUCAAAAUUAGAGGAGUUUAUGGGGAUGGAAUCCUCCACAAAAGGUAGAGAAUCCAAACUAUUUCCUUCUUCCCAAGCAGGGGAGGAAGGAUGCUUAAGCACUGGAGGAAUGUAAGAAGAAGAUGAUCCAUGGGAAUCUGAGGCAUAAUACAUGGGUUUGAAUUUUUCUGAUAAGGCUGACUGGGAUUUCAUGUAGGAUGAUGGUUUCUUAAGGGAUUGCUUUUCUUUUUUGGGAGCCAUAUUCUCGGGAAUCCUGCAAAAAUUCACGAGUUAAGAAAUCAGGGAUAUAGUUAUUUUCUCCUUUAAUAUAUUCAAUUUGAAAAUCAAAAUUGCUUAAAAUAGCUUGCCAUCUAGCAAAUAUAUGCUUAGAAGCUAUAUUUUUAACAUCUUUUUUCAAAACUGAUUUUGUUGACAAACAAUCAACUCUUAAUAAAAAUUCUUGAUUUAAAAGAUCGUCUUGAAAUUUUGAAAUGCAUAAAACGAUGCUUAAAAUUUCCUUUUUGAUGGUGCUGUAGUUGAGUUGGGCAUGGUUCCAAGUUCCAGAAGUGAAUCUAACCAACAAUUCUUGAUUAUUACUUUUUUGCUUAAGAAUACCACCAAAACCUAUGUCAAAAGCAUCAGUCUCAAUAAUCUUAAAGGCUUUAUGAUCAGCUAAGGCGAGACAUGGUAAGGUUUUGACUCUAGAUUUUACUAUUUUAACAAUCUUGGUAUGAUCCUCAUUCCAAGGAACUGGAUUUUUCUUAAGUCUUUGUCUUAAAGGGGCACAUAAUUGGCUUAAAUCUUGUAUGAAAUCUGACACAUAAUUAAGGCUUCCUAAGAAACGUUGCAAUUGUUUCUUAUCCUUAAUCUCAUCAGGGAACUUAUCAGCAAACUCAAUUGAUCUUUGAAUGGGGGUGAAUGUUCCUUGGUGAAUAUGAUGACCUAGGAAUCUUACUUUAGUUUGGAAGAGGUUAAUCUUAGUGGCUGACAAGCUUAAACCAUUGCUCUUAACAGUCUCAAUAAAUCUAUUGAGAUGUUUCCAAUGCUGCUCAAUAGAAUCUGAGUAAAUCAAAACAUCAUCAAUGUAAACAAUAAUGAAAUCAGAAAACUGGUUAAAGAUUUCAUUCAUUAUGUUUUGAAACUCAGAAGGUGCAUUCUUAAGGCCAAAGGGCAUUACAUUCCACUCAUAAUGACCAAAUGGGACCACAAAAGCUAUUUGUACCUAUCUUUUUCCGCAAUCUGGAUUUGCCAAAAUCCUAAUUUCAUGUCAAACUUAGAGAAAACUUUGGACUUCCCUAAUCUUUGAAAGAGGUCUUUUUUUAUUUGGGAUAGGAUAUCUAAUCCAUCUUAAAACAUCAUUGAGGGGCUUAUAGUUGAUGACUAGUCUAGGUGUUCCUCUUUCUAGUUCAGCUUGUUUCUGAACAUAAAAGGCUGAACAACUCCAAGAGGAUUUAGACAUAAAAGGCUUGUUUCUGAUUUCAUUAUUGUUUACAUUGAUGAUGUUUUGAUUUACUCAGAUUCUGUUGAGCAGUAUUGGAAACAUCUCAAUAGAUUUAUUGAGACUGUUAAGAGCAAUGGUUUAAGCUUGUCAGCCACUAAGAUUAACCUCUUCCAAACGAAAGUAAGAUUCCUAGGUCAUCACAUUCACUAAGGAACAUUCACCCCCAUUCAAAGAUCAAUUGAGUUUGCUGAUAAGUUCCUUGAUGAGAUUAAGGAUAAGAAACAAUUGCAACGUUUCUUAGGAAGCCUUAAUUAUGUGUCAGAUUUCAUACAAGAUUUAAGCCAAUUAUGUGCCCCUUUAAGACAAAGACUUAAGAAAAAUCCAAUUCCUUGGAAUGAGGAUCAUACCAAGAUUGUUAAAAUAGUAAAAUCUAGAGUCAAAACCUUACCAUGUCUUGCCUUAGCUGAUCAUAAAGUCUUUAAGAUUGUUGAGACUGAUGCUUCAGACAUAGGUUUUGGUGGUAUUCUUAAGCAAAGAAGUAAUAAUCAAGAAUUGUUGGUUAGAUUCACUUCUGGAACUUGGAACCAUGCCCAACUCAACUACAGCACCAUCAAAAAGGAAAUUUUAAGCAUUGUUUUAUGCAUUUCAAAAUUUCAAGACGAUCUUUUAAAUCAAGAAUUUUUAUUAAGAGUUGAUUGUUUGUCAGCAAAAUCAGUUUUGCAAAAAGAUGUUAAAAAUAUAGCUUCUAAGCAUAUUUUUGCUAGAUGGCAAGCUAUUUUAAGCAAUUUUGAUUUUCAAAUUGAAUAUAUUAAAGGAGAAAAUAACUCUAUCCCUGAUUUCUUAACUCGUGAAUUUUUGCAGGAUUCCCGAGAAUAUGGCUCCCAAAAAAGAAAAGCAAUCCCUUAAGAAACCAUCAUCCUACAUGAAAUCCCAGUCAGCAUUAUCAGAAAAAUUCAAACCCAUGUAUUAUGCCUCAGAUUCCCAUGGAUCAUCUUCUUCUUACAUUCCUCCAGUGCUUAAGCAUCCUUCCUCCCCUGCUUUGGAAGAAGGAAAUAGUUUGGAUUCUCUACCUUUUGUGGAGGAUUCCAACCCCAUAAACUCCUCUACUUUUGAUACUCACCCCUUAUCUAUUCACAAAAGUAUUCAUGUUUUGCAGGCUAAAUGCAGGGAUCUCGAAAGAAGGCUAGAAAUAGCUAACUUUCCUAAAAGAGAUAUAAGCCAAGCCCCUUUUUCCCCACUAGAAAAAGGUGAGAAAAAACCAUUCACCCCACUGGUGAAUGAGAAAAAAUUAAGUAUGGAAGAGCAAGAUUGCCUUCUCUUUAGAAUGUUUCAUCAUAAGAAUCAACUCCUAUAUAAUCUUAAGCCAGAUGUUUAUCGUCUAAUUUGUGAAAAGGCCAAGUCCAAUGCAGAAGAAAUGCAAGUUUUCAUUUCAGCCUAUCUUCAGGAUCUGCAUAUCUAUCUCUCAUCUAUUCCUGGUCUCAGUGUUCCAGGACUAAAUUUAAUUAAGGAGAUGGAAUUUGAUGAUUCAAAGAUUUGCAGAAAUAUUAGCGAGCCACUUCUGCAUCAGCAUGACAACAAGCAUUUGUGCAAUUGAAAUAGAAAUUUCACUAUCAGUAGAGCCUAUAUUGAUCUUCAGCAUUAUCAGCCAAUAAACCUCGCUUUCAAGGGAGGAGUUAUAACCCUAACUCCUGAAAAGCUUCUUGAGUACGGGUUAGUCUGCCAGCUUAUUUGUUCUGAUCCUAGUCAAGCAAGCAAUUUUGGUAGAAAGAUUAACUUAAGCUUAACCCAAGGCUUUAAGUUAAAUAAGAAAUUUGCAGAUGCCAUUUUCUUCACAAAGCUCCUGAAUGGAUUUCUAAUGGCAAUGUUCUUCCAGCUCAGCAUUAUGUUAAUCUUCAUUAUCAAAAUAGAAAGCCUACACUUUUGUUCAACCCCUUAUUGAAAAAUGAGAUUUGCGCCGAACCAAUUAUUAAACAAAUUAAGCAUUGGAGAGCUAGAGUUAUCAGCAGAGACUUUGAAGCCUACCCUAAAAACAUGGGGUAUGUCAUUGCUGCGGAUUCCCGUCAUCAGAUCUUCUGCAGCAAAAAGAUUGAUCAUUUACCAUUCAAAUCCACUAUUCAAGAUACUCAGCUCCUAAUGGAUCACCGCUCGGAAUAUAUUCCUCCCUGAUUAAUUGACUAGCAGUCAUUUCAGCCGAAAGCAAGAUUCCGGGUCAAUAGUCAAAAGUGUUACAGUUCAGUCUUACUGUUCACUUUUACUAUUCAAGCACUAUUCAAGCACGGGUCUAUUGUUCAUGGUUACUAUUUAAGAUUCCUUUUUUGCCUAUUUAAGGAGGCUCGGUCCUCAUUUGUAAGCACGCUUCAUUUUAGUUCUGUUUCUCUCCCAAGCUUAUGCUCUCCCUUCUCUCUUCUUUCUCUCUCAUCAUGUAAGCCCUUCAAGCUUUCAAGCUUUCUUCAAGGUUUCCUACCCCUGUCCAUUGUAAGAUAUUUCUCCUUAUGUAUUAUAUAAGUAUGUUUUGAUUACCUCCUAUAUGGAUGGUUUUUUAAGUUUUGUUUUUCAUUUUAUGUUCUUGUACCGCCUACAUGGUCGGUUUUAAUUAAGUUUUGUUUUUAAGUUUAUGUUUUUUAUUUUGUACCGCCUACAUGGUCUGUUUUAAGCUUAUUAUGAACUAACAAGUUUUUGCUUCUCUUUAAAUUUCUUAUUGGAUAUCCUGUGUAUUUUCUAACCCUCUUCUUUGUUUUGAAUCAUGGCAUAAUUCCUGUUUUCAUUGCAUAUGACCUUGUCCUGGGUGUCUAUGGUAUCAGAGCCAUGUGGGAGGGAAGUUGGGUCUUGUUUUAGGUGUUCUUGGCCUAUCCUAGGAUAGGUAGCAGUGCCUGGGAGCGCGAGCCCUGCCGGUUGAGCCGUUGUUAGCCGUGGAUAGGCGUUUGUUAGGCUAUAAGAGGGUUGGGGUGACGUCUCAUAAGGUCUGUGAAUCUGCUAUUAGGCUCUACUUCAAAAACCCUAAAAUGAGUUCAAUUUUCAGAACCAUGUCUAGGAGAUCCAGUGAUUCUCAAGAUACUGUUGUAAACAGUGAAGAGAUCAAUUAUCCUAAGAUCCAAAAUGAUUUAGAUGAUUGGAAGUUACCCAAGGUGUCUAAUCAAGAAAUUUAUAAGAAAAUAACCUUUAAGUUCUUCACAGAUUAUACCAUUAAGACCUCUGAAAUGUCUGUCAACUUAGAACAAGAUGACCAAGUCAUAAGACUUCUAGAUAACAGAUCCAUUGAUAAGCAUAAGAAAGAUGGCUAUAAUUUCAUACACUUUGGUAUGAUUCAAGUAGCAGCUAAGCCUUUGACAAGAUUAGGUUUAAACACCUCUAUUGUCAUGUGUUUAAGGGAUAAUAGGCAUCUCGAAUAUCGAGAUUCUAUUAUAGGCGCAGUCCAAGCUGGACUGAAUGAUGGCCCAGUUUAUUUCCAGUGCUAUCCUAACUUCACAGUUAGAAUAAGAGAUGCAGACAUCUUAGAUUCCGUUGUUCUGCAUAUUAAGACUCAUGGCUUUAAGAUCAAACCAGGAAACAAUCCUGUUUCUAUCAUAACCAGGUUUGCCUAUAAGAGCAUGAACACAAGCGUUGGACCUGGGGCUCUUUGCACCAGUCCUAAAGGUGAGACCACUUACUUUCAUUCAGAUAUGCUAGAUAAGUCAGAUUUCAUCAUUCCCAAGAAGAUCUUGUGGAAAGAUGUUGAGUUUCCUGAAAAUUAGCAUUUUGUUGUUCCAGCCAUAGCACAACGUUCUGAAAGUAUUGAAAAAAUUGUUCAAUAUCCUGAUGGAGGAGGAGAACUGGUUUUCUCCAACUCUUUCAGGCAUUCCAGCAGCCCUAGAGUUUCUGUUUAUGAACCCUCUAGAGCUUCAAGCUCUUCCAUCCCAGUUAGAACCACUAGGGAAGAAGAAGGAUCCAGCUCAGGAAACCCUAAGAACAUUAAGCUAACUGGUGUUAGAAGUCACACCAACGUGGCUAGACCAUUUUACAAUGAAGAAAAUGAGUCUACUCAGGAAUCCCAACAGGAUGAGUCCCCUGUUAUGUCUCCUACCUAUUCCCAAAUGAUUAACACAAUAAGCCUAAGUGAUGAGGACUUUGAGAUCAACAAGGAUCUCUUAAGAAAAGACUUCUAUUCUGAAGUCAAUAAGCAAAGAAAUGAUUGGUUCUUUAGCACUGUCCCUAAGGUCAUUAGAACCAUUUACCAAGAAGAAUUCUAUGCCUACUUAAGACAAGAAAAGAAAAAUAUUAAGUUUUGGAUUUGGUUUGAACUCUUCAAACAAGAGGAAUAUCCAGAUUAUCCUUAUAAGCGUGUUAAUAACACGAAGAGCACUGAGUCCUUAGAAUUUUCUAAGGAAUUCCAAGAAAAUCCCCAAAUCAACCAGGCUUUUGUUGAUAGGAUUAAUCAGGAGAUUAGGGAUAAUCUUGUAUCCCCUUUGACUGUUUAGCCUGAUAAGAGAAUCAAUAUGGUUAAAGGUGAUAUUAGUUCAGAAGAAGAAGCUGAUGAACUAAUUAAGAUGUUUGAGGAACCCCAUAAUCAAAUUAUUAACAACUUGGAAGCCUUUAAGACUAGGAAUUACUAUCCUAGACCUACUUUUCCUGACAUGCAGUUUGAGGAAAGAAAUCAGUAUACUCAAGCCUCAUACACCAGUGGUACUAUCUAUGAAUGGAACAUAGAUGGUAUGACCGAGUAUAACAUACUCACUAAGCUUCAAGAGAUGACCAUGGUAAGUACAGCCUAUAAAUUAAACAAUAGACUGCCAGAUCAUGCUGUAGCUCAGACCAUUGUUGCUAGGUUUACAGGUCAGCUUAAGGGUUGGUGGGAUAAUUAUCUCACUUUUGAUGAUAGGAAUAGUAUCCUUAAAGCUUAUAGGAUUAAUGAGAGUAAUGAAGUUGUUAAGGGCGAAGAUGGCCAAGAUAUUGAGGAUGUAGUGGCUACUUUAAUCUACUCAAUAUCCAAGCACUUCAUUGGAGAUCCUGCAAAAAUUAAGGAUAAAACUGCAGAUCUCUUAACCAACCUUAAGUGUCCCAAGCUUCAUGAUUUUAGGUGGUAUAAGGAAGUCUUCCUAACCAAAGUCAUGCUAAGAUUAGAUUGUAACCAGUCUUUUUGGAAAGAAAAGUUCAUCUCAGCAUUACCCAAGCUUUUCUCUGAGAGAAUUAGGAUCAAGAUAAGGGAACAGUAUAAUGGUCAAAUCCCUUAUGAUAAGUUAACCUAUGGUGAGAUUAUAAGCAUUGUCACAGCUGAAGGGAUUAAGUUGUGCAAUGACUUCAAGCUUAAGCAACAAAUGAAGAAUGAACAAAAAAAUCUACAAGAAUGAAUUUGGAUCAUUCUGUAGCCAGUUUAGUUUCAGCCAAAAAGAAAUUAUGCCUCCCUCUAAGCAAAAACCAAGUAGGAAGCCUAGCAAAGAUAAGUUUUACCACAGUAAGAGAGGUACCCAUGACAACUAUAGGAUGAAUGAUACUAAGCAUUCAAGGCACGUCCAAAGAAGGAUCAACAAAGAUACCCAGAAAAAGGUAGAAACUCCUUUAGAUGUCAAGCCUAUCAUCUGUUUUAAAUGUGGCAAAGUUGGCCAUUAUAAAAAAGAUUGUAGAGUUAAGCAAAAGAUUAAUAACUUAAGUGUCUCAGAUGACUUAAAAAAUAUGCUUUGUAAGGUAAUGUUAAACUCAGAUUCUGAAUCAAGGACUGAUUCAGAUAAUGAAGAUGACAUUAAUCAACUAGACAGUAGUGGUGAAGUUUCCAGCCAAUCUUCUAGUGACCAAGCAGAAUGUAUUAAAGGAAAUUGUAAUUGUCGUCCUAAAACUAUAAAUGUCAUAAGCCAAGAUCAGGAAUUUAUCCUAGAUACUUUAAGAAAAGUUGAAGAUGAAAAGACUAAGCAAAAUCUUUAUGAAGUUUUUAAAAAAUCUGUUGUCAAGGUAGAAGCCAAGAAGACUGUUAAUCCUUAUAACCUUAAUGAUAUCUUAAACAGGUUUGACCAACAGUCUCCCAAGGAUGUCAGCAUUAAGGAACUUCAUGAAGAAGUUAAGCAGCAUAAAAAGGAGAUUAAAGAGUUAAGACAAUUCAUAAGUUUAGGUCUCUCUUAUCUCCAAGAUCAAAUCAAUAAGAUGGUCAACCAAGGAAACCUUAUGGAUAUUCCAGAAUCUUCUCAUGUUAAUGAUAAUGAGACAGAUACUUUUUUGAAUACUGUGAGUAGGGUUAUCUUCCAGAGGUGGGAAGUCUCCCUUACUAUAGUAGUCAAAGAUAAAUUUGUCUUUGAUAUUAUUGCUUUGAUUGAUUCAGGAGCAGCUGAAAAUUGCCUUCAAGAAGGUCUUGUACCUAUUCUUUUAUGCGAAGAGACUAGUCAGUCUCUAUUUGGAGCCAAUGGCAAAAGACUUGCCAUUAAGUAUAAAUUAACAGAUGUUCAUAACCGUAACCAUGACAUCUGUAUUAAGCAAACCUUUAUCCUUGUUAAGGACCUUAAUGAAAAAGCCCUUCUAGGAAUACCCUUCUUAAGCUCUAUUUAUCCAUUGUGGGUAGAUAACCAAGGUAUAAGAACAAAGCUUUUUGAUAAGGAAAUUCUUUUUGAAUUUUCUAAUCCUAUUGAAAACAUCACUCGAUGUGAUCAAGAAAUUAAUAUUGUUAGAAUAGAUGAUCCACCUAAGAUAUUAGGUACCCAAUUCAUUCAUAAUCUCAUUAUAAAUGAUAUUUUAAGCAUUCCUUUAUGCAUUUCAAAAUUUCAAAUUGAUAUUUUGAACCAAGGAAUUUUAAAAGUUGUUUUCACAUCUGAGAAAACAAUUAAGUAUAUUUCUUUUAAGUAUAACUUAAUUGAUUGGAUUAUUUUAAACCCUAAUUUUCAAAUCAAGAUUAUUAAAGGAGAAAGUUUCAUUCCUAAUCACUCAACUCAUGAAAUUUGCAGGGUUCACGAGACCAUGGCCCCUAAAAAGAAUACCCAAGCUCCUAGCCAGAAAACCCAAUCCAGUCAAGCUCCUUCUCCCCAUAAAAUGCUAUGGAGCCAACAAGUUGAAGAAGAAGAAGCAAGGCUUCAUUCUUCUAAACCUAUGCCUAACAAGAUGAUGACCUUGUACUAUGAUCAUUCCGAUCCAGCUAAUCCAGUCAAGGCCACUCAGUAUCCAGCCAUUUCAGGGUCUCAGACCUUCAAGCAAGUCAUUAAGGCUAAUCCCUCUCAAAAGGAAUUAGCAUCAAGCUCCUCUUUUUCAAACAAGCAAAUUGUGGUGGCUGCCAACCCCACACCUCUUUCAACAAAAUCAAGAUAUUGGCAAAAUGAUUUAAAUCAACCUCUUUUGGUUAUAGAAAGAGAAUUUUUCUCUGAAAACCCCAGAGAAAUUGCUGCAAAAGCUUUUCAAUAAAAUUUUCAUUAUCUCUUUGGUGAUAUUUUAAGAACAAGAGAGUUUUAUGAAGCAGUCCUUACAGAAAUUGGUUUUGUUAAAAUUAAGCAUAAUGCAAACAAAUUCAGCAAUAUGAGUUUGGCAUUCUCCACCUGCCAUAUCUAUAAGAUUCUUACUGUCAAGCAAUGGGGAGGAAAUCCUACUCUUUCAAGGGAAUUUUCUGAACCAUCAAAGCCAAGGUUUUUUAAUUAUUGGGAUUAUCAGAGAGCAUGGUUUAAUGCUUUUCUGAUCCAGAAUAGGGACUUCCAUCAUUCAUGGAUGUUCUAUUUUCCAUCUAAGAAUCAGCUUUCCUCUUUCCAAUUUUGGUUCUACAGUUGGUGGAAUUAUUAUGGUCCGACUAUUAAGAUUCUUCCCAAGCCCAUCCUGGAUGGCUUUGAGCUAUUCAGAAGUUCUUUUGAUAUCCCCAGAGAACUUUCAGCUUUUCCCCCUUUACUAUUCUUCUUCAGCAAAUUUGGCCUUGCUUGGAUAGUCCAGUGGGACUAUAUUAUCAUUACAGAUGAAUCAGCAGUCUUUCCAUCUCUGGGAAGGACCUUUAAAACAAAAUGGUGGGAUGCCUUAAAAAAUGAUGCAUCUAUUGAUAUAGUUAAGCAGUAUUUCCUCCAGAACCCCACACAAGUCUCAGCCAGUGAUAAUAUGUCUCAGUUUCUCCUUAAAAAGCAACAGUUACAAGCCAUGCUCACAGCAGUUAAGACCCCUCAAGAUUUCCAGAAAAUCCUUGAAGAAGGAAGCUCAAGUUUCUCCCAAGAAAAUUCUUAUGCAGAGUCGGAUGAUUCAACAAGCUACUUUCCAGACAAUGGUGAUGACUGUGAAGGAAUCAUUCCUCCAAUAAGAAGAUCUAAGUAAUCAUCAGCCUUUGUCUUCCGUCAAGAAUAUUUUUCAAGCUUUACAGUGUUUCUAUUCAAAAAGCAGCAAGCUUGUGUCUACAUAGUAUAAAGCAGCCUGUCAGAAGUCUUCUCAGCCGAAAGAGGGUUUUUUGGGGGAUUUCGGUAUAAAAGUGAAUCUUACUAUUCACUAUUCACUAUUCAAGCACGAGUCUACUGUUCAUGGUUACUAUUUAAGAUUCCUUUUUUGCCUAUUUAAGGAGGCUCGGUCCUCAUUUGUAAGCACGCUUCAUUUUAGUUCUGUUUCUCUCCCAAGCUUAUGCUCUCCCUUCUCUCUUCUUUCUCUCUCAUCAUGUAAGCCCUUCAAGCUUUCAAGCUUUCUUCAAGCUUUCCUACCCCUGUCCAUUGUAAGAUAUUUCUCCUUAUGUAUAAUAUAAGUAUGUUUUGAUUACCUCCUAUAUGGAUGGUUUUUUAAGUUUUGUUUUUCAUUUUAUGUUCUUGUACCGCCUACAUGGUUGGUUUAAAUUAAGUUUUGUUUUUAAGUUUAUGUUUUUUAUUUUGUACCGCCUACAUGGUCGAUUUUAAGCUUAUUAUGAACUAACAAGUUUUUGGUUCCUUCUCUUUAAAUUUCUUGUUGGAUAUCCUGUGUAUUUUCUAACCCUCUUCUUUGUUUUGAAUCAUGGCAUAAUUCCUGUUUUGGGUGUCUAUGGUAUCAGAGCCAUGUGGGAGGGAAGUUGGGUCUUGUUUUGGGUGUUCUUGGCCUAUCCUAGGAUAGGUAGCAGUGUGCCUGGGAGUGCGAGCCCUGCCGGUUGACCUGUUGUUAGCCGUGGAUAGGCGUUUGUUAGGCUGUAAGAGGGUUGGGGUGACGUCUCAUAAGGUCUGUCAAUCUGCUAUUAGGCUCUAGUUCAAAAACCCUAAAAUGAGUUCAAUUUUCAGAACCAUGUCUAGGAGAUCCAGUGAUUCUCAAGAUACUGUUGUAAACAGUGAAGAGAUCAAUUAUCCUAAGAUCCAAAAUGAUUUAGAUGAUUGGAAGUUACCCAAGGUGUCUAAUCAAGAAAUUUAUAAGAAAAGAACCUUUAAGUUCUUCACAGAUUAUACCAUUAAGACCUCUGAAAUGUCUGUCAACUUAGAACAAGAUGACCAAGUCAUAAGACUUCUAGAUAACAGAUCCAUUGAUAAGCAUAAGAAAGAUGGCUAUAAUUUCAUACACUUUGGUAUGAUUCAAGUAGCAGCUAAGCCUUUGACAAGAUUAGGUUUAAACACCUCUAUUGUCAUGUGUUUAAGGGAUAAUAGGCAUCUCGAAUAUCGAGAUUCUAUUAUAGGUGCAGUCCAAGCUGGACUGAAUGAUGACCCAGUUUAUUUCCAGUGUUAUCCUAACUUCACAGUUAGAAUAAGAGAUGCAGAAAUCUUAGAUUCCGUUGUUCUGCAUAUUAAGACUCAUGGCUUUAAGAUCAAACCAGGAAACAGUCCUGUUUCUAUCAUAACCAGGUUUGCCUAUAAGAGCAUGAACACAAGUGUUGGAUCUGGGGCUCUUUGCACCAGUCCUAAAGGUGAGACCACUUACUUUCAUUCAGAUAUGCUAGAUAAGUCAGAUUUCAUCAUUCCCAAGAAGAUCUUGUGGAAAGAUGUUGAGUUUCCUGCAAAUUGGCAUUUUACUAAUGCUGUUCCAGCCAUAGCAUAGCAUUCUGAAAGUAUUGAACAAAUUGUUCAAUAUCCUGAUGGAGGAGGAGAACUGGUUUUCUCCAACUCUUUCAGACAUUCCAACAGCCCUAGAGUUUCUGUUUAUGAACCCUCUAGAGCUUCAAGCUCUUCCAUCCCAGUUAGAACCACUAGGGAAGAAGAAGGAUCCAGCUCAGGAAACCCUAAGAACAUUAAGCUAACUGGUGUUAGAAGUCACACCAAUGUGGCUAGACCAUUUUACAGUGAAGAAAAUGAGUCUACUCAGGAAUCCCAACAGGAUGAGUCCCCUGUUAUGUCUCCUACCUAUUCCCAGAUGAUUAACACAAUAAGCCUAAGCGAUGAGGACUUUGAGAUCAACAAGGAUCUCUUAAGAAAAGACUUCUAUUCUGAAGUCAAUAAGCAAAGAAAUGAUUGGUUCUUUAGCACUGUCCCUAAGGUCAUUAGAACCAUUUACCAAGAAGAAUUCUAUGCCUACUUAAGACAAGAAAAGAAAAAUAUUAAGUUUUGGAUUUGGUUUGAACUCUUCAAACAAGAGGAAUAUCCAGAUUAUCCUUGUAUGCGUAUUAACAACACCUCUACAAAAGCUAAGAUAUGGAAAACGAGUGACAACAUUGUUAUAGAAUCCAUUCAUCCUCCUGAAGCUAAGAUAGAAAAGAAUAUUAAUGGAACCAUAGUCACAGCUUCACCUUUUAAGACUAAGCCAGAGGAUAAAGGAACUGCUAGUGCAUCCGAUAUUAGAAGGAUUAUGGAACAAAUCAAUUAUACUAAUAUGUUUCUCAUAACCCUUGGAAAUCAAGUCAGCCGAGUUGAGGAGAUUAUUGAAACUCAGGAUCACCUUAAGAAGCCUUUUGUUAAGAAUGAUAAUAAGCCUUUGUUUAAGCCUUUUGAAUUAUCUAAGAAAUUCCAGGAAAAUCCUCAAAUUGAUCAAGCUUUCAUUGAUAGAAUAAGCCAAAAGGUUAAAGAUAAUCUUGUUAUCCCUGAAACACCUCAAACUUUUACUAUCCAUGAAACACUUCUACCUUCCCAUAGGAGAAUCCUUUUGGUUAAAAGGAAUAUUAGUCCAAAAGCAAAGGAUAAUGGACUAAUUAGGCUAACCAGAGAACCUUCUAUCCAAAACACUUUUAAGGAUCAUGAUGAUAAACAAGAGAAAAGGAUUAUCCUUAAUGCCCUGACUAUUAAAGAUCUUCAAGAAGAAAUAGGACAGUAUAAGAAGGAUAUUGAGAACCUAAGACAACCUACAAGCUUAGAAAUCCCUAUCCCUCAGGAUUAUAUCAACAGGGUAGGUUUUUACCACAGUAGUCCUAAAAAGGAAGACUUUGAAGAAGUUCUUGAAUCUUCACAAGAUAAUAGUGAUAAGAUAAAUGCAUACUUAAAUACUAUUAGUAAAGUUAUCUUCCAACUGUGGGAAGUCUCCCUUACUAUAGUAAUUAAGAAUAAAUUUAUCCUUGAUAUUAUUGCUUUAAUUGAUUCAGGUGCAGCUUUGAAUUGUCUACAAGAAGGUCUUGUACCUACCCAAUUUUAUGAGAAAACUAGGCAAGCCCUCUUUAGUGCUAAUGGUAAAAAGCUUAUUAUCAAGUACAAGCUAUCGAAUGCCCAUAUUUGUAACCAAGGCAUUUACAUUAAGCAAACCUUCAUUCUUGUUAAAGAUCUCAAGGAGAAAGUUCUCCUUGGAGUCCCUUUCUUAAGCUCCAUCUUUCCCUUGUGGGUAGAUGAUCAAGGUAUAAGAACCAAGCUUUUAGAUAAGGAAAUUCUGUUUGAAUUUGCCAAUCCACCUGGAGAAAGAAGUAUAAACACCAUAAAAGAUCAGGUGAUUAAGGCUAAGCAAAAUCAUAUUAAUCUCUUAAAGCAAGAGAUUGCUCUGGUUAGAAUAGAAGAUCAAUUGAAGGUUAAGAAAACCCAAGAUGCCAUAGAAAGCCUUAAGAAUAAGAUUAUUAAGGAAGUAUGUUCUAACAUUCCUAAUGCUUUUUGGCACAAGAAGCAGCAUGAGGUAGAAUUACCUUAUGAGCCUGAUUUUAGUGAGAAAAAAAUUCCCACUAAAGCAAGACCAAUCCAAAUGAACAAGGAUUUAUUAAGCUAUUGUGAAAAGGAAAUCCAGGAUCUCUUAGAUAAGAAGUUGAUAAAACUUAAUUAAAACCGACCAUGUAGGCGGUACAAGAACAUAAAAUGAAAAACAAAACUUAAAAAACCAUCCAUAUAGGAGGUAAUCAAAACAUACUUAUAUUAUACAUAAGGAGAAAUAUCUUACAAUGGACAGGGGUAGGAAAGCUUGAAGGGCUUACAUGAUGAGAGAGAAAGAAGAGAGAAGGGAGAGCAUAAGCUUGGGAGAGAAACAAAACUAAAAUGAAGCGUGCUUACAAAUGAGGACCGAGACUCCUUAAAUAGGCAAAAAAGGAAUCUUAAAUAGUAACCAUGAACAGUAGACCCGUGCUUGAAUAGUAAAAGUGAACAGUAGACUGAACUGUAGCACUUUUGACUAUUGACCCGGAAUCUUGCUUUCAGCUGAAAUGAUUGCUAGUCAAUUAAUCAGGGAGGAAUAUAUUCCGAGCGGUGAUCCAUUAGGAGCUGAGUAUCUUGAAUAGUGGAUUUGAACGGUAAAGGAUCAAUCUUUUUGCUGCAGAAGAUCUGAUGACGGGAAUCCGCAGCAAUGAGAUACCCCAUGUUUUAAGGGUAGGCUUCAAAGUCUCUGCUGAUAACUCUAGCUCUCCAAUGCUUAAUUUGUUUAAUAAUUGGUUUGGCGCAAAUCUCAUUUUGCAAUAAGGGGUUGAACAAAAGUGUAGGCUUUCUAUUUUGAUAAUGAAGAUUAACAUAAUGCUGAGCUGGAAGAACAUUGCCAUUAGAAAUCCAUUCAGGAGCUUUGCUGAAGAAAAUGGCAUCUGCAAAUUUCUUAUUUAACUUAAAGCCUUGGGUUAAGCUUAAGUUAAUCUUUCUGCCAAAAUUGCUUGCUUGACUAGGAUCAGAACAAAUAAGCUGGUAGACUAACCUGUACUCAAGAAGCUUUUCAGGAGUUAGGGUUAUAACUCCUCCCUUGAAAGCGAGGUUAAUUGGCUGAUAAUGCUGAAGAUCAAUACAGGCUCUACUGAUAGUGAAAUUUCUAUUGCAAUUGCACAAAUGCUUGUUGUCAUGCUGAUGCAAAAGUGGCUUGCUAAUAUUUCUGCAAAUCUUUGAAUCAUCAAAUUCCAUCUCCUUAAUUAAAUUUAGUCCUAGAACACUGAGACCAGGAAUAGCUGAGAGAUAGAUAUGCAGAUCCUGAAGAUAGGCUGAAAUGAAAACUUGCAUUUUUUCUGCACUGGACUUGGCCUUUUCACAAAUUAGACGAUAAACAUCUAGCUUAAGAUUAUAUAGGAGUUGAUUCCUAUGAUGAAACAUUCUAAAGAUAUAUAUAUAUAUAUAUAAAGGUAACUUUUUUAAUUAAUAAAAAAUUGUCAUAUGAAAAAAAGUCUCAUCUCUCUGUACAUUGAUUUAUACUCCAUUUCUUUGUACUUGUUGUAUGGUUAGAUUAAAAGUUCAAUAUGAUACUAAAUUUAAUAAGCUUGCCAUGAUCUCUAGUUAUACACAAAAUUAAAUAACAUUAAUUUUGCCAGUGGAUUAGUAUUUUUUUUUUUUAAAGGCAACCAAUUUAAGCUAUAACCAUUUGGUUACAACAUGAGAGGGCUAGGGAGUGGUGGUAGAGGAAGUAUUUGACAACAUUUCUAUAACCAUGAAUGGUGACUUUGUAGGUUAUAUUGGAGAACAAGGAGAGCCGCUCUGAUGGGUUGCCACAUCUAGUCUAUGUAUCCAGAGAGAAGCAUCCCAAGCAUCCACACCAUUACAAAGCGGGUGCCAUGAAUGUUCUGGUAAGGAAGCCCCUUGAAUUGGUAUAAUUACUGAUAUUCCUUCUUUUCCCCUGAUUAUUUCAUGAUAAACAGACCAGAGUCUCUGGAGCUAUGACAAAUGCUCCUUUCAUGCUGAACGUAGACUGUGAUAUGUACGCAAACAAUCCACAGAUUUUUCAUCAUUCAAUGUGUUUGCUCCUCAGUUCCAAGAAUGAACAGGACUGCGGGUUUGUUCAGACUCCACAAUCCUUCUAUGAUGGACUAAAGGACGACCCAUUUGGAAAUCAGUUUGGAGUUUUGUAUAAGGUAUGCCAAAUUUCAAUAGUGAAGAGUGAUCUCUUCCAUACUAUAGAGCACACGUACUAGAAGCCUCUUUUAUUUUUUCAUUAAUUGAUAUCUUUGCUGAAUCAGUAUGUAGCAAGUGGAAUAGCAGGGCUUCAAGGACCUCAUUAUUCUGGAACGGGAUGUUUUCAUCGAAGAAAAGUUAUCUAUGGGUUAUGGCCAGAUGGAAGGAUGGAGUUCAAAGGAAGAAUUGGUAUGCAGUCAAUUUAUUUGUCUUAUGUAUCCUUUUAAUUUCCUUACAGGGAUCUUAAAAUGUUAUAUGAAACUAAGCAUUACAGUUUUCUCUACUUUUUGGUAGGAAAAUUAACAGACGAGAGAUUAGAAAAAACAUUCGGAAAUUCAAAGGAAUUCACAAAAACAGCUGCAAGGAUUUUAUCAGGGUUGAGCGGGGUUUCGGAUUGUCCAUAUGAUCUUUCGAAUCGGGUUGAGGCAGCACACCAAAUUGCAAGUUGCAGCUAUGAGUAUGGAGCUAACUGGGGUACAAAGGUGAGCAGCCAAUAGUUAGAACAACAAGAAUAGUACCUCAAAUGAUACCUUUAGUUCAACCAUUUUUCAUUAAAUAAGGAUCUAUUUUUAUUUUUUUAUUUUGAAAAGAAACUUAACUAGAAGUUACAUGCAUUAUGUGACUAUCCAUGUUCAGAUUGGUUGGUUAUAUGGAACUACAACAGAAGACAUCCUCACAGGUAUGAGGAUACAUGCAAGAGGUUGGAAAUCCACAGAUUGCCGGCCUGACCCUCCUGCAUUUCUUGGGUGCGCACCCUCAGGCGGGCCUGCUGCACUUAUCCAACAGAAGAGAUGGGCCACUGGCCUCCUUGAGGUGCUGUUCAGCAAGAACAGCCCAUUCAUUAUCACCUUCACUGCAAAGCUCCAAUUUCGCCAAUGCCUUGCAUACAUGUGGAUUCUUUCAUGGGGUUUAAGGCCAAUUCCGGAGCUUUAUUAUCUUGCUUUGCCAGCAUAUUGCAUCAUGGCCGGCUCACAUUUCUUGCCCAAUGUGAGCAAAACUAAAACCAUUCAGUUUUCCUCUUAAAUUCAUACAUAGCAUUAGUAGUACUACUUCACCAACCUUUGUUUUAUUAUCAUUGACGCAGGUCCAAGACCCAGCUGUGUUGAUACCGAUAUCCCUCUUUGUCAGUUACAAUUUUCACACUCUAUUGGAAUACUGGGGGGCUGGAUAUUCAAUCCGAGCAUGCUGGAACAACUUGAGGAUGUGGAGAAUAACCGCAGUGACCGCAUGGUUAUUUGGAUUUUUAAGCGUCAUUCUGAAGCUCCUGGGGUUAUCGGAGACCGUCUUUGAAGUUACAAAAAAAGACCAAUCCACUACUCCUGGGGAGGGCAGUGACAAGGAUGCUGGUCGGUUCACCUUUGAUGGGUCUCUGAUUUUUGUUCCGGCCACUACUCUUCUGUUGGUGCACCUGAUGGCACUUGUAACAGCCUUGUUAGGACUAUUUGAUCAUGUCGAGAUUGAAUCAAGAAUAGGGGAGAUAAUAUGUAGUGUGUGGGUGGUGCUAUGCUUCUCGCCGUUUCUUAAAGGCUUGUUUGGGAAAGGAAAAUAUGGG